rnacentral:lncRNA from 1 species
CGGAGCCGGAGGUAUCAUGCUUACCGGGACGUGAGAGUCGCGUGCGCUGCGCUUGGGGUCGGUGGCGGAGAAGACGGUGUAGACGAGCACGAAGGUGCCGAUGAUCUCCGCGGCGAGGCCGGUGCCCUUGGAGUAUCCGGCGGCGAGCGUGUUGGCGCCGCCGCCGUACCUGACGAAGUAGGCGCUCUGGAAGGCCUUGACGAGGCCGACCCCGCACAUGGCGCCGAGGCACUGCGCCACCAUGUAGAGCAGCGCGCGGACCAGGGAGACCUUGCGCGCCAGGAAGAGGCCGAAGGUCACGGCCGGGUUGAUGUGGCCCCCGGAGAUGCCGGCGGUGCAGUAGACGAGGACGAAGAUCAUGCCGCCGAAGGCCCACGCGAUGCCGAGCACGCCCACGCCGCCGCACGCCGCGUCGGCGGCGCUGUUCACCGCGGGGUCCGUCUGGUGCUUGUACCCGAUGACCGUGGCCACGGUGAUGUAGAGGAAGAGCAGCGUGGCGAUGAACUCGGCGAUGACGGCGCGGUACAGCGACCACGACGCCAGCUCCGCCGCGUCCACCAGCGGGGCCGGCGGCGGGUCCGUGUAGUCCUUGGCCGCGAAGUCGCCGCCGCCGCCGGUCUCCAUCACCUCGUCCUUCGCCAUCAGUGUGUGUGGUUUCUUCUCGCUGGAAAAAAAUGGAGUUGGAGCUUGUGUGUGGUGGGGGAGUGACGGGAGGAAGGUGGUAUUUAUGGAGCGGGGGAGAAGAGGUAGGUAGUAAAAUACAACGAGGCGAGGGUGUGUGGUGGACGAGGCUCCGCACCCUCUCGUGGUGUCCUUGAUGGAACUGAAAACUGAACUAUUUUCUUCGUCUGAAUUUUAUUUGUACGAGUAGGAGGACUAUAUAAUUUGCUGAUAAGACCAAAUGGGGCUUGGCUUUUGUUUUUGUUGCUGCAGUGAAGUGAGGUGGAUAAGCUAUUGGGGCAUGUGCUGCGACGCAGGUGCAAACGCCAGAUUCCAGAAUUCACGGAUAUCUCUUUCCUCGAUUGGAAGUUUGGAGAACUUGCCGACUGAGCAUUGUGACAAAAUCUACAUGAUACGGUGUCUUUACUGCCAUGAUCCGGACCUAUUUUCACCUUCACCACAUCUUCGUGCCAUUCGUUUUACAGUUUUACUGAGCAUUCGUUUUACAGUUUUUCAUUCGUGUCUUUACUGAGCAUUCGUUUUACAGUUUUUCAUAAAGGAAAUUUACAGUACGGCAGACGAACAGCAGACGCACAGACAGAAUUGAUCCUAUAAAUAUUAUUAAACUUCCACUCACCUUUUUUAAUUAGUAGUUCGUGCCAUUUAAACACCAUUAGAGUUCCAUAUAAACACAGUUCAUACGAGCUUAAUAAAACGGAAAUUUUAAACAUAGUUCAUACCACGCGACAUAAAUAUAAUUCAAAAAACAUACUUUUAACGUAAACUAGUUCAUAUUUAUACUUAAACUACUUGCCACCGCAGUUCUACUCGCCGUCACCAUCACCAUCACGGACUUGCCAACGCCGAGGUGGUGCUCCAUGAGAGAGUUGGAGAGCCCAUACGUGAGGUGGUACUCGUUCAAUGUGCAACAUGUGCUGCCGCAACUUCGUCGAUGGUGAUGGCCGCCUUUUUCGCCUCGAACCAGACGCGCUCGACCGUCGGGAGGCGCUAGAUGGCUGGAUCGAUGAUCUCACUAAGGCAACGGGAAUUGCUACACGCUCGCGUGCGUGCUAUUUGCGCGAUUGAAAGCACAAUUUUUGUCUAAGGUGGUUUUGAUAAUUAAUCAUAACAUAUGUGUCAUUAUCCAAAUAUAUUUUAGAAAAGUUCAAAGAUGCAUUGGCUAAGGAUCGUGAGGAGAACGCGUGGCUACUAGGAAAGAAAUAGGAUUGGCCAAGCGACUCAGCAUUUUAUAUUUGUGAAAAAUCAUAUUUGAGUCCAUAGAAAAGUCAAUACUACUAAAAGGGUGAGGUAUCUAUGAUGAAUUGGUUGCUCAUAUGGUUAGAGAUAGUUACCAAAAAUACCCAGUCAUUCUCCCACAAAAGUUCUCUCUCCAAAGACUAAACAUCAAAAUCGGUGCCACCAAGAUUUUCCAUUCGUCUCUAAUGGUUUUCCACUAGACAGAACCUUUGCCAUACCCUAAAAUCUCGGUACCACCUGAGGGGGUGUAAAUUAGGGGUAGGCCCAUGGACCUGCAUCCCAGGGCCCAUCUAAGACCCCACAUGGACAUCAAUGUUGCCAAAGCUACCAGUGAGUCACGGUCUCACUCGGGUAAACAAGUUCUCACUCGGUUUGCACAAAAUCACUCGGUUCGUCUUUUGUCAGCCAGGCGUGCCCCGACACUCCAACUACAGCAAGGCGUGGACGACGAAGAGACUGCAACAGCCAUAGAAUUAAACUACUACAUGAAGUGCAGUUAAGACGGGUGUUACCAGUAACGUCGGAGUUAGAGCUGCUGUUAUUAGUAACUUCCGUAGUUAUUAGCAUUAACUCACCCUUGUAAUGACGCUCGACAAUUCAUGGCGCACUCUAUAUAAGCCGCACCCGAGCUCCUAAACAAGGGUUCAACAUUCUGUAAUCCCACACUCCCCAUAAGCAAACACUAGUCUCCAGGCUCGAGAUGUAGGGUCGUUACCACUCCCGAGUGGGGCCCGAACUCGUACAUCCGAGUGUAUCCACUAUGCCGUAGCUAGGCUCCACCCCUCAUUUGUACUCGUGGUACUAUUAUGAGGAUCAUUCCCACAACAGUUGGCGCCCACCGUGGGGCUACGCGUUUAGAAAAUCCGACGUAGUUGGAGUUUCCAUCCUUUUCGUCGUCAUGAUGAAACUUGGCGGAGAGAUCAUCUUCGGUCCCCUCAGCUUCAUUGAAGACGACUCAGCAUGGCUGCAGGAUGCAUCACUAGACACCGACGCCCUUCCCGCUCGAGGUGCAUCACACUUCAGCGCAGUCGCGCACGGGGUCCUGAUCUGACACCCGUUGGUACCGUAUCACUCGGUGCCCUCACGUCGUGCUGCAAUCCGUCACAAGUGCUCCGGGCGCUCACGACCGCGGUGGUGGAUCAAACAUGCGGUGGCCCAUCAGGCCACAUCAGGGCAGGUGGCUAUGGUCGAUUCGGAUGAGGCCACCAUCAGCCUCUUCCCUUCAUCGGGUGACGGAUCGUUUGACGAUUCCGACUGCGAAAGCAGCGGAGGCGCCACGGACGUGUUGAUGGAUGACACGGCCAGGGGAGGAGCCCCUGCUUUUUCCGCGGAGAACUCUCAUGGACACGAUUGCGGCGAAAGUCGUCACGGCGACGACAACCAUCACGUCCCUCAGCUGCUCACGAAGCAGUAGUAGGAGGAACUUUGAUGGAGGAGCAAUCAAGCUCUUCGUAGUCCCAUCACCGGGAACACCCCGGAGGAAAUAGCAUUGCAGAAUGUGUGUCAGGCCACUCUGGCCAAGCACGACCGACUCGAGCGGUUUCAACGCUCACACGACACCCGAGCUGCAAGGGACCAGGCCAGUUCCAGUUACAGCCGCCGGUAGUUGUUUCCGAACGACCGCCAACAUAAGAUCGAGGUGAUGCAGAUACCUUUGUAGAACGUGGCCGCAGCCACUCGGAUCGCUGAUUCCGUUCAGCCAAGUGAUUCUGGAGCCGGGUUAGGCAUUCAGUAGAUCUAGCCUCCCCUAAAGACUGCUUGCAGCUAAACCCCACAGUACUGCAAUCGUGGUAUCACAUCCAUAGCACGCCCGUCCAAGCGGAUACGGUGCAGUCGGCUCACAACCCUCAUGCACCCCGGAAGAUGCCAAAGAUCUCAUCCUCAUCCGAGAGGCCCGCACGGGAUCAGAGGCAUGAUUAUCGGUUUCGUACCAAACAGAAGAAGAAGAAUGAUUGGUCCGGAAAGAAGAAAAAACUGAGUCCAAGAGUAAUCUCUUGGACCAACCCUGCCCUAUCCACGCCAAUAAGGAUGAUGACAGGGAGAUCAUCCUUGCCAAGCACACGUCUCGAGAUUGUCGUCUUCUGCGGCAGGGGAUGGGCAGAGAACCCUCCGGGGAUAGGGACGAUUAGGAUGAUCACGAGGCUACCCCCGGGUACCCGAAUAUCGAGAUGGUCCUCAUGACCUUCCCCGACGUCGAGAGUAAGAGUCGAUUGAAAGUCAUCAAUCGGGAGGUAAACAUGGCAGUUCAAACUGUCAUGAAGUACCUCAAUUGGACAAAUAGGUCUGUCAUGUUCGAUCAGUCAGACCACCCAACCCACAUUGCCACCCCUGGGAGGUAAGCGUUGGUUGUAGAUCCAGCUGUCAACGGAGUUCGAUUGCGAAGGGUCCUCAUAAACGACGACAGCGGACUCAACAUCAUCUAUGACACGCUCAAGGCCAUGGACAUCCCGUUGUCCGAGUUGAGCAAGAGCAACAUGCAUUUCCACGGGGUCAUCCCUGGGAAAAAGGCCGUGCCACUCGGUCAGUUCGCCAUGAAUGUCGUGUUCGGCGGUGAAAAGAAUUACAAGAAGGAGAGACUAACCUUCAAGGUGGUUGACUUCUGAAGCGCUUAGCACGCCAUCCUAGGUAGGCGUGACUACGCACGUUUCAUGGCCUGUUCAUGCUAUGUGUAUCUUAAACUUAAGAUGCCAGGGCCAAAAGGCGUAAUCAUGGCGACCGGCAAUCGGAAGAUCGCCGAAGAGUGCCUCCAGCAAGGCUCCAAGAUCGCCAAUCAACAAGUCCUCAUGGUCAAGCCAUCCGACAUGUCGGGUGUUCCCACAAAGUUGGCUAAGCACCGCCUCCGAGUGGACUCCAAGGUCAAGCCCAUCAAGGAACACUUGCGUCGCUCCUCCGUGGAGAAGCGCAAGACGAUAGGCGAGGAGAUCGCUCGGCUCCUAGCCGCCGAGUUCAUCCGUGAGGUUUGCCACUCCGAAAGGCUUGCGAACGUGGUCAUGGUGCCCAAGAAGAACAAUUCACUCUGAAUGUGUAUUGACUUCAAGCACCUCAAUCGGGCCUGCCCGAAGGACCAUUUCCCUUUACCUUGCAUAGAUCACAUUGUAGACUCUACUGCCGGAUGUGAACGUGUGUGGUUCCUGGAUGCGUACUCCGGGUACCACCGGUUCUGAAUGUAUGUACCCGAUGAAAUAAAAACGGCCUUCAUCACCCCAUUUGAGUAUUUUUGCUACAUCACCAUGCCGUUUGGCCUCAAAAAAUGUUGGGGCUACUUUCUAGCAUAUGAUCGAGAAGCGCUUGCGGGAAUAAAUCAGUCGAAACGUCAAAGCAUACAUGGAUGGCAUCGUGGUCAAGUCCAAGAAAAGUUCCGACCUCCCGACUGACCUCGCUGAAACUUUCACGAACCUGUGACGCUGCGGGAUCAAACUCAACCCGGCAAAGUGCACCUUCGGUGUUCCAGCCGGCAAACUACUCGGUUUCCUUGUUUCUGAAUGAGGCAUCGACGCCAAUCCCGACAAACUCGGUGCCAUAGUCAAAAUGAGAUAACCAGAGCGCAUCCUUGGUGUGCAAAGGCUCAUAGGUUGCCUUGCAGCUAUCGGUUGCUUCAUCUCAAGACUCUAUGAAAAGGCAUUGCCUCUUUACGGUUUGAUGAAAAAAACCGACAAGUGCGAGUGGACCAACUGUCGGUGUCAAAACCAGCGGAUUUUGGGUAGGGGUCCCGAACUGUGGAACUUGGAUCGAUGGGUUGCAAGAGACGAAGGACAUAGUAUUUACCCAGGUUCGGGCCCUCUUGAGGAGGUAAUACCUAUGUCAUGCUUGAUUAUAUUGUUGGUGUAUGAGGAUCAGAGAGUUUAUCUACCUCGAGAUCGUAUGAGCUAUACCCUAGAUGAAUCAACUUGGCUAUGUGGACGAAGCCCUCUAGUUUAUAUAGACCCCAGGGGUCCCCAGGGUUACAUACAACUGACCUCCAGCUGGGGAUAGAUGCGCUGAUCUAGCCUACCAAACUUGGAUGACACACCAGUCUCCGGAACUUUCCUUCCUGAAUACAAAGUUUUUUAUGUUGUCCAGUCUUCAAUAAUACAACCCAUAUACGGCCGGUCUCUAAGAGAUGGGCUGGCCAUCCGAGGAUCCCUUAAUCGAGGACUCCCUUUGUAGCCCCCGAACUUGCAUCCAAUGCAGAUGUACACGGUCUUCGGCAACUUCUUGCAUUCAAAGUAAUCGGCUUGCGAGGCGAGUUCCCCCAUAUUCGGCUCGUUCAGACUUGGUAAUUUGGCGAUGUUAAUGCCUUUAAAACAGGCACUCAUUAAUGAGAAGGCCAAAAGGCCCGAGUGUGAAUAGUUCCUCAUAUAACAGCCUUUCUGACGAAAGGUCGCAAUAGUCAGUUAUGACAAAAACUCGAUUCACGAUUCGAGGCCGCUUUCCCACAGACACAUCUUGUCAAUCAUGGAGAUCGUGCCCCAUGUUUAAGGGGAUAUCGGUAAUGGUCUGGGGAAUCCCAUGCGCGUUCACCGGUGUGGUCAUUGCGGGAAGUGGCCGGGUCUCUGGUGUAAUAAACCGGAACCCUUGGCUCAGCGCCACCCAUAAAAGGGAAAAAGAUCCAUAGAGCAGCCACACGCAUUCCAGACUCGACCCCCUCCCAUCCUAGCUCCCAAGCGCCCAGAUCCAUUACACUUUCCACACUCUCCUAUCCGUCCUCCCCCCAAACCCAUCCAUGGCCGGAUAUGGUUCUCAUGGCAAGUGGCAGAUCUCGUGCAUCUCCGACAAAGACAUCAGAGAGAUGAAGGACGCCGGGUAUCUCUUGUCGGAUAUCGCUCAUGGUCAGGUGGCGCCCACUCCAAGGCCGAACGAAAGAGUGAUGUUCAUCGCCCCACUUCAUACGGGGACUAGGCUUACCACUCCACCCCUUCGUCAGGGGCGUGAUGUUCUACUACGGGUUAGAUUUUCAUGAUCUUUCCCCGAACUCCUUCAUGCACAUUUCUUCUUUCACCAUCGUUUGCGAUGCCUUCCUACAGGUGCAUCCGCACUUCGGCUUAUGCUUAAGACCUUCAAGGUUAAGCCAAAGUCAAUCACUCGCCAACACACCGACUGUGGCGGAGCUGUGAUCAUUAAGCUUCCCUGAGUUGAAUGGCCGGAGGGCACUUUCAUUGACACCAUCAAUGCAUGGCUGAAGGAGUGGUUUUACAUCAUUGAGCCUCGGAAGCAAGUUGGCUGGCUCCUGCCGAGUUUAGAUCCGGACCCCCUGAGAGGCUAACCUCAUGGGUGAAAAGGGGCCUCAAUUGGGGUUCAUCCUCAGAGGUGAAAGCUGUGUAGAAGCGCAUCAAGCAGAUGCCAGAGAUGAACGUCGAGCUGACCGUUGUGGUUCAGGUUAUGCUCCGUCGCCGCAUCCUUCCCUGCCAGCGUCGGGACACUCCAAUCUGGUCCUACAAGCUCGGCGACCCUGUUAGCAUGAAUAAGUUCUACCACAUCACCCUUGAGAAGUUGUGGAAGGUGUUAUUCAAACCUCAACAAGAGUGGCCAGCCGAGGAAGAACACGUCGGCUUGGAUGCCUCUCACCCUCCUUUGGAGGUAUGAUCAAGCCUUUUAUUUUAUAUUAAAGCUUUUAAUCUUUAUCAGGGAUCUCAUUUUUUCCAUCAUCCUUGCAGGGCUGGCUGGAAAAGGCCAAGAAAAUAAAUGGUCAAGUCCCCCUGCCCGAGGACCCCAGGUCGCAAUUGCUGACCAUGAUGCUAGUGGUGGCGCCGCACACAUCGCCAGAUAAAAAGCACAAGAAGAAAAAUGAGACUCGCGGGGGUGUCUGCUCAAGGGGUCCUCCGGAUACUAAGUCCGAAGAGACCGAUGCCUCCUCCGUCUACGAGGAAGAGGAGGCAGAGGAUCGAGAGGAAAAAUAUUCUCUCCAAACAAGGAAGAGGGCGGCGUCGGAGGACGCCAAGGGGGGCUUGCCUCCCGAGGCCCCGAAGAAACCGUGCAGAGGCAAGGUGGUCCUGCUCGAUGAUAGCCCAGAUUCCGAUGAGGACUACGAGGCUUUCAAGAGGGUUCCUCGAAGGACCCCCAGGGUCAAGCCCCUGGCCCAAAGGCACAUAAUUUGUUUUGUAUUUAAUGAAUUAUGCAGAGCUUUUGUUGUUAAUCAUACAUGCUCUUUUAUCCGACGCUGCCCUGUCCGAGACCUCCUGACGGAUCAAGUCUCGGGGUGUUCACUACCAGCUGAACUGGCAGAGAGCUGGAAUACAUCCCGCACUACUCUCCCUCCACCGUCGGAUGAGGCUGCGUAGGUGAUAUCCCACGAAUCCCCUCCGAACACGGGGGACGAGGUGGUGAUGGCUGAGGUAAAUACCUUGGCCACCGAAGACCGGGAGGUCCCAGCCGAGGUUCAUGCCUCAGUCACCGGGACCCGGGAGGUCAAUCCCCUCUCAAUGAGAUGAGAGGGGGACCUGGAUUCGUCCGAGCUUUCUCCGGAUACGGCUCCAAGGAGCUCUCCUCCUUCGGUGUCUUCAACGUUGCCUUCGUCGCCGCCUAUGAAAGAGAAGGUUGCGGCCGAAUGGCCUACAAUGAUGGCGGAGGCCCUAUCUGGCGCGUCCAUUGCCGAUGAAUAUCACACCCUUAUGGGCGCAAUUCUGCAAAGCAUUCAGUCCGUUGAUAGCAGUCUGAAGGGAGCCUUCUGCGGUUUCAUGAUAGGCUUCGAGGUAAACUGAUUAGUGUUUAUUUUAUUUAUAAGGUAUGGUAGCCCCCAAGCCAUGGGUGAGUUGAAAAUCUCGCCCGUGGCUCGAAAGAACUUAUUAUCUUUGAGUAAAAUCAGUUCGGGGACCCAUGAACUAUCACAGCUCAAUGGGCUACUUCGGCGAAAUAACCCAAUCCCGUUAACGUGGAUGCUUAUUGAAAGUGCGUUAUAUCGACUAGAGGGGGGGUGAAUAGGAGAUUUUUAGAAUUUCAUCACUGAGGAAAUUCCUUUUGAGGAAAUUCCUCACUGAUGACUAACUUACAGCGGAAACAGUAAAGGAUCAGACGUGCAAACGUUCACAACAGCAGUAUUUCAGAGUGAAGAAUGUGAAAAUAGAUUGCACAGUAAGCAGGCACGCAGAAUACAGAUGAAGAUUAACUAUCGUGAAGAAUUUGGGGUUGAGGAAAUUCAGAGAGAGUCUUCAGCAAAUUCUUCAAACAGUCACAGUGAAAGUCAUCAACACACAAUACAAGAAAAGUAAAGAGUUGAGGAUAGAACCCGUUUCUCAGUGAAGACUGUUGUUGAUGACCCAGUUUCAACUGUUGUGGCAAUUGUACAUCUGGUUUGGAGCGGCUUGGUUUUGAAACCAAAGGACACCCAGUCCCGGUACACACAGUCCCUACCGUAUUCUCCUUGAGCUAAGGACACACAGUCCUCACCCAACACUCGUGGUAAGUCUUCAGGGCAGACUUCGAAACCCUCACAAACUUGGUCACCCGGUGAUCCACAAUUGACUGCUGGAUUGCUCUAGACCAUGACACCUAACCAUCUGGAGGAUGCACAGUCCUCAAAGGUAAAAGGCUUCAGUCCCACACAGGAACAACUUCUUUAGUGAUGCUCAAUCACUAGGUUUGGUUUGUGGUUUCGGUGGGUGGUGUNNNNNNNNNNGCCCAACACUCGUGGUAAGUCUUCAGGCAGACUUCCAAACCCUCACAAACUUGGUCACCCGGCGAUCCACAAUUGACUGUUGGAUUGCUAUAGACCAUGACGCCUAACCGUAUGGAGGAUGCACAGUCCUCAAAGGUAGAAGGCUUCAGUCCCACAUAGGAACAACUUCUUCAGUGAUGCUCAAUCACUAGGUUUGGUUUGUGGUUUCGGUGGGUGGUGUAUUUCCUCACUCAUGAUUUACUCUCGAAGGCUCUGAGGAAUUUGGGUUGCUCUUAUGACAUGUGUCAGUUUCUAACGGAGCAGCCAACCGACUAGUGGUUGUGGGGGGUGGCUAUUUAUAGCCUAGGAGCAUCCCGACAUGAUUUAACACUAAUGCCCUUAAAUAAUAUGACCGUUGGAGUGGAUAAGACCAAUGACUUGGUGUGGUUAUCGAAACGGUCGGAACCCUCAACUGUGAGAGUCCUCAUGUCACUCAUAUUCCUCACUUGAGGCUUUUGAUAGGAUUAGGCUUGGGUUGAGCAUCAUGAGGAAAUCCAUUCCAUAGUGUUACUUUGACCCCCUUUAACAGUACGGUGUUCCUAUUACUCAAAUGCGAAGAAAGUAAAACAGAAAGUGUAAAUCUUCGUGCUUCAAAUUCUUCAGAAUGAUUUUCUUCGGGAACCACCGGACUUCUCAAUAUUAGUAUCUUCAUGAGGAAUAUCAAUUUCAUCGCAGAUUCCUUGCGAUUCAUUUCUUCAGCUUCGGACCAAUUUCUUCAACUGAAGACAUAUAUUUUUAGGGGUCGAUAUUCUUCAAAUAUCUCAGACUCCUCAAUGACUUAUAGAUCCUGUGUAUACUCACAAACACAUUAGAUACUUAACCUAUAAGUAUUCAAACCACCAAAAUCACUAAGGGGCACUAGAUGCACUUACAAUCUCCCCCUUUUUGGUGGUUGAUGACAAUUAGGUUAAGUCUUCAACUGGGAAUAAAAAUAUGAAGUGUAAAUACUCAUUUGAGGAAUUUGAAAACAAGAUUCAGAGAUACCCCCCUGAAGAUGUGCAUAUCUUGAGGAUUUUGCUUUUCACAGCAAAUGCACAUUGAUGAUUUAUAUCAUGGAGAUCUCCCCCUGAGUCUUGUAAGUCAUGCAUACAUAUAACAUAUCAUAUGAAGAAAAUGAAGAUGCAUGAUGGCAAAUGGUAUCUGACGAAUUCCAGCAUGCGUGCAUUAAAACUUGAGGAAUAAGCAUGCGAAGAAAAACGUUCAAAAGCGUCAGAGUACCAUCGGGCUUAAGUUACAACUCAUUACAUAAAAACUUCAAAAGAGCCAAGAGUUUAUAACUUCAAUAUAGUUUAUAAGCCCCAAAAAUAUCCCGCUUGAAGACUAACUCUCGAGUUUCUCCCCCUUUGUCAUCAAGUGACAAAAAGGGACAAACUGAGGACUAACGCCCGUGAAGACUUCAUUUCUUGGCGGUCGAGGAAGAGUCGUGAUGCUUCUUGGGAGUAGUCUUCUUCCUCGGGCCGGUUGCAGUAUCGAGCUGUUCUUUAUCAUAUUCAACAGUGCGGAAUGAAGAAAAGGAGCUGUCUUCAAGGUCUGGCACUGGAAUGGGCAUGAACUUCUUCUUGGGAGGCCAUGACCAGUCAAAGUCUCGCUCAAAGUUCAUUUCUUCAAGCUCAGUCUGAGUCUUCAGAUGUGCAAGUGUAGCCCAGGUGCGAUCGAAAACCUCAUGCAGGUAGUGAUGGUUAAUCUUCACAGAGUUCUGUGUUUCAGUGAGGGUUUUCACAAUGGCACCAAACUGGCGUUUGACCCAUUUGUGGUUGCGAUCCACCUUCUGGUGAAGACUGAGGAGGAGCUCUCUGGUGUUCAGCACGCGAGGAGGAAUUGGGCUUGCUGGACGAGUCUAAGUAUCGUCCCAUGAAGAAUAUGCUUCUGGCUCUCUGAACUGGCCAUCAAGGGGCCUGCUGCCUUCUUCAAUCACAGAUUUUCCUUUUCCUUCAAUUGGCUCGAAAGUCUUCUUGUUGACCCGGAUAGGAGGCAUAUAACCAACAUGGUUUUGACAAUCAGCAUGAAAGUUGAUGCCUGUCCUUGUCCUGAUGAAUCUCAUGAUCCACGGGGCAUAUAUCUUGUGAUCAAAGGGGUACAUGGCAUUGUCGGCCAAAGUCCUCAAGAAGAAAUCAUGGAUAUUAAUAGGAAUACCGUGAAUGAUGUUGAAGAGGAUAUUCUUCAAGAGGCCUACAACAUCUUCUUCAUCGUCAUGGACUUUGAUUGGCGCGAGCACACUGCAGAGGAUUCUGUAGACAGACCGGGGUGUGUACUUGAGCUCGUGGACGAGGAAGGUUGUUCUUGAAGAUUUGCUUGCAGCCAAAGGCUUCAUGAGGACUUCCAUCAUUCCAUUUGGCAGCUCACGCUCACCAUAAAGCUUCACUGCCCCAUCUGAGGGAAUUGGUACGGGCAGUUCUCUGAGGAGUUCAGAAGCAGGAGCCUUGUAGUGAGUGUUUUGGGUCAUCCAAUAAAACACCCAAGUGUUGAUGUCUUCAGGGUUGCCAGAUAUAUGAAGAGUGGCAUAGAACUGAGGAAUAAGCUCGCUGUUCCAGUCUGAUAUAUCUGAGCACAUUGGGAGCAAACCUGCAUCGUGGAGUACACUGAGGACUGGCUCUAGGCAAGGUAUUGCUUCAAGCUCAACAUGAGGAAUAUGCCUGUGCUGGAAAAUCUUGUUGCGUCCACAGAGCACAGAGGCAUAGUAGUUCAUCUGGGUCCUUGUCCAAAACUUCAGAUGCCUCAUUUGAGGCUUGUCAUAAGGGUUCUCUCCAAUGAAGUACAUGCGUUCCUCAAAGAAAUUUUCUUUCUAAAACUUUGGACGCUUGGAUAAUGGCUGACGCUGAACUGGCUGAAGAUUUUGCUGAGGAAUAGGGGAGGAGACAACCAUAGCAGUCUCUGGGUUAAGCACAAUGAAUGCAUUGUCUUGGGCGGGUGCAUUUUCUUCAGCAUUUUCCUCAAGGUGAGGAAUUUCAUCAGCUGGUACUUCAUGCUGAGGAGAUGGUGCUUUCUUGGACUGAGCUUCAGGCUGAGGAAUUUCGGCUUCUUUCUCAGUUGGAGGAGUCUGAUCAGCUUGUUCCUCAUCUUGAGGAUUUUGCUCAGAGUUUUGGAUUUCUUCAGCUUGAGGAUUUUCAGCUUGUUUUUCCUCAGCUGGUUCUGUGGCAGAAGCAGUUUCAUCAGCUGGUGCAGCUGAUGCUUGAGCAGUUUCUGUCUGAGGAAUAUGAGGUUUAGGACUGUCGUCAAUCUGUAUUUCCUCAUCAGUGUGUUCCUCAGGAGCGACAUCCUUCAUUUCCUCAUCUGCCUUCGUAGCUGGGUCAUCAAUGACGACCAUCUCAUAGGAAGGGGUGACAUUGAGAGGCACCGGGUCCAGAGGAGCAGUUUCUUCAAUUUCUUUGAGGCGCUUUGCCUCUGUUUCAUCUACUGCCGAGGAGGCUUUUCUCUUCUUGGCUUCCUUUUCAGGAGCCCUUGUUUUCUUCACGUCUGAUGCAGACGGAAUUAUCUUCUUCACCUUUGAAGCUUUUGGUGAAGGUGUUCUCUCUUCAGUUUCUUCAGCUGGUAUUGAGGAACCAGCUGGAACAGAGUCAUCAGCCUGCUUUGAUGAAGCAGCUGGAUCAGUAGCAGUCUCAUCAGUGGCAGCAAGUUCAUCAGUUGGAGUUUCCAUGAUGAGUUCUUCAAUGGCCGGUUCAUCAACACGACGCUCUUGGUGUACUUCCUCAGCUUGAGGAGUUUCCUCCUCCUGAGGAGAUUCAUCUGCUGGCUCCUCAACCAAGGGCUGAGGGGUUGGUGCUAGGGUUGCAGUUCUCUUGUUGGAGUCAUCAAUAGCACUAGUGGCCAGCUUGAUGAAAUUGCUCUUGAGGCUUUUGCGAUCUGACAGCUUGGUGUACUUGUCAGUCAAUUUCUGCAGCUCUGCCUGUGUAGUUACCAGUGCAUCAGGAGUCAGUUUGAGAAGAUUCUGCCUGAGGAAUUUCUCCUUUUUGAUCUUUGCGACCUUUGCCUGCCUGGCCUGCUGUUCUUUCCACUUGGCUUCGUUUAUGAAGGUGGCCACCAUGUGGCUGAUGCCAGGAGGAAGCUUCAAAUCAUCAAUAGGAGUGUUUGGAUCCUCAUACCAGAUAUUGAUGUAGUCAAGCAGGACCUUGGGGUCCAUGGCCAGAGGAAUAGCACUGCCUGAUGCUUGUGCUACCCUUUCUUGCUUGUUUCUGAUGAUGGCUUGCAGGGUUUCAUCAUCAUAUUCAUCACUUCCCUCUGAUGCAGAUGGGACUGCGAUGAUUUUGCUGGGGCUAGGCAGAGGUGCACGUUCAGUAGUUGUCAAAGUCUUCGCAGGAGGUGUUGAAGACUUUGCCUCCGAGCUAGUUGCAGCUGGGAGUGAGGAGCUGGAGCUGGCGGUCGUAGGCUUCACGACAUGCUUGGGUACUGGUUUCUCUUAAGGUUUUGGGGUUGGAGCUGAGGAUUUUGAUACCGAGGAGAUUGGUGCUGAGGGCUUUGGCGCUGAUGGUUUUGGUGUUGAAGGUUUUGGUAAUGAGGGUUUUGGUGCUGAGGGUUUUGUGACAGAAGCCUGAGCAGACUUCUCUUGAGGCUUUGGAGCCAUUGGCUUUGAUGGCGCAGACUGCAUUUGAGGAAUUUCUGAGCCUGAGGUUUCUGCAGCUGAGGAAUGAGCAGCACCGGAGGCAGCAGCUGAGGAUUCAUUGAAUUUCCUCACUGCAGCUUCUGCUUGCCUCUUGAGCUUGGCCAGAUGCUUUUCCUUUUCAUAUGGAUAGUCAUCAAUGGGCUUGAGGCUUGAUGGAUGUGCUACUUGAUGAUCCUCAAGUGGGGCCCUUCUGCCAGGAGGCUUCAAAGCGAAUUUCUUCGCAUUUUUGGGAGUCACAAACAUGUACUCCUUCCAUUCCUUCGCCCAUCUGCGUUCAAUCUUCUGCAGCCGUAUCUUUCUCCUGGCCAUUGUCUCAUGUUCAUCAGGCGUGCAAUAGUCCAAGUAAAUGUCCUCAGGGAUAUCAGCAGCUGUGUUUUGCUCAAGUUUCUUUCCUCCCUUCUGUUUUCUGUCUUCCUCCAUUUUCCUCAGUUGAGGAUUUUGCUGAUGAUUUUGAACUCUUGAGAAUUCUGAUGAGCCUUGAAGAGUUUCUUCCAGAAACGCUGCAAAUGAGUUAAUGUGAUGAGAACCGAGAGAUUCAUCAGCUGUCAUGUGUGUACCUGUGAACAGAGUAUAGUUGCGAGGAAUUUGGAGAGGUCAUAUGCGUUCUCAGAUUUGAAGAAAAUGAAAAAGUUUGACAGUUUGAGGAAUAUAACCAGUGGUUGAGGAAUUUGCCUAAGCAUACUGUUCUUGGGUUCCAGAGUUGUACAGAUCCGAAAAUUCGCACAAUUGAGGAAUCUCGUGAUAAUCUUAGAUGCUUAGCAUAGUUCAUCAAUGAUUGUGGUGAUAUGUAGUGUUUGAGGAAUCAAGUGCGCAUCGUAUCUUGAGGAGAAACAGAUUUCACAUAGAGGAAGUAAAAUUUUAGAUCUAACUUGCUGGAAAAAUGGGAUAUAUUUACCCUGGAAGGUGCGCACGAAGAACACAGAAAGUUGUGUGUGGAGAGGCUCUUCGUUCGAGUGUCCAAUGCACCCUAACUUGGCGACAGAGGACGUCUACGGCGGCGGCGGACGAAGAUGGUCCGACUCCGGCGUGGUUCUCGCGACGAAGAAGUCGAGGCAGCGAAGCUCUUCCUCACCGGCGACGAGACUACCAGCGGUGGCGCUAGGGUUCGGUGGAGUGUGCUGUGGCAGGAGAGCGAUGAGGCGAAGAAGAGGAUGCCGAGGGGGGAUAAGGACAUAUUUAUAGCCCAAAAGUUACCGUUUGGCGCGAAAAUGUCGGACCAAAUAGCCCCUGCCUCUACGUCUCCGCAGGACACGUGUAGCUCCCGUACGAUGUGGUGGAGAUAGUGGAGAUCGUGGUUAUCCGAUCGUGGGAAGUGGGGGUUCAGUUACUGUGUCUUUACAGAAACAAUUUUUGAAGAUUUGAGGAUUUUCGUUACAAUAUCAUCAGCUGACAAGGACGCAGUGAGGACUUUGAACAAAGUUUCAAAUAGAACGCAUAUGAAGAAUUGAAUAGACUGGAUAAGUAUAGUAUAGAGGGAAAGUAGGGUCCGAUCACAUUCACUUAGCAGAAACAUCAACUUGAAGAAAUAGCCAUAAGUGAAUGCUGUUGAGGACUAGAAAUCACAGUCUACCUAGUCAAAUGAAAGUCAUCAAGUGUUUUUGAAGAUUUUGUAGUAUAUCAUCACAAUGAAGAACAACUGUUUUGAAGAAAAAUGCAUUGUGAGGAAAUUGAUCAUUUGAAGAAAAUCAACUUGAGGAAUUUCAUAUUGGGUGGUGGCGUUACCCACCAUAUAAGAAUGUUGAUUACAGACGCCACGUACAAUUGUCGUAGGGCCCUGAGAAUCAAUUUCUUCGUUAAUUUCUUCAUAUUCAGAGUGACAUUCUUCAUCAGUUGAAGAAAAUCGAUUCAUCAUGUGUUGCACAUCUAAGUCAUCAACUUUGCAUAAGUGUUAGGAUGUGUGCAUGUUUUUACAAAACAUUUGAAGAUUCUAAGAUAUUUAGCUCACACCGCAACUUGCAAAACCUUUUCUCAUCCAAGGGCUUAGUGAAGAUAUCUGCCAGUUGAUCAUCAGUCUUCACAUGGUCGAUGAGGAUAUUGCCCUUGAGGACAUGGUCCCGAAGAAAAUGAUGACGAAUCUGGAUGUGCUUGGUCUUCGAGUGCUGUACUGGGUUGUAUGCAAUCUUGAUAGCACUCUCAUUGUCACAGUAGAGAGGUACAUUCUUCAUGUUGAUGCCGUAGUCCUUGAGGGUUUGCUUCAUCCAUAGCAAUUGAGCACAGCAAGAACCAGCAGCAAUGUACUCGGCUUCGGCAGUGGAGAGUGAUACACAGUUCUUCUUCUUUGAGGACCAACAAACUAGUGAUCUUCCGAGGAAAUGACAUGUGCCAGAAGUUGACUUGCGAUCCACACGGUCACCAGCAUAGUCUGAAUCAGAAUACCCUACCAGAUGAAGAUUGGAGCCCUUGGGAUACCAUAAUCCUAGUGUUGGUGUGUGAGCUAAGUAUCGAAGAAUAUGUUUCACAGCCUUAUGGUGUGAUUCCUUCGGUUUUGCUUGAAAACGUGCACACAUGCAAACACUAAGCAUUAUAUCUGGCCUAGAUGCACAUAGAUACAAUAAGGAGCCAAUCAUAGAACGGUAUACCUGCUGAUCGAAAUCUUUACCAUUUUCAUCAGUGCCGAGGUGGCCGUUGGUAGGCAUUGGAGUCUUUGCACCUUUGCAUUCGUGCAUGUCAAAUUUCCUCAAAACAUCCUUGAGGUAUUUCUCCUGUGAUAUGAAGAUUCCAUUGCUUUGUUGAUGAAUUUGAAGACCUAAGAAGAAUUUCAGCUCCCCCAUCAUGGACAUCAGAUAUUCUUCACUCAUCAUGUAAGCAAAUUCAUCACUGUAUCUUUUGUCAGUACAGCCAAAUAUGAUAUCAUCGACAUAUAUUUGACAUACAAACAACUCAUUAUCAUAGGAUUUUGUGAAAGGAGUUGGAUCGAGUGAACCAGGUUUGAAGCCUUUCUUCAUGAGGAAUUCCUUCAAUGUAUCGUACCAUGCCCGAGGGGCUUGCUUGAGGCCAUACAGAGCCUUUUUGAGUAUGAAGACUUUGUCUGGAUUCUUUGGAUCCUCAAAACCUGGAGGCUGAGCAACACAUACUUCUUCCUCAAGCUUACCAUUGAGGAAUGCACUUUUCACAUCCAUUUGAUAUAAGGUGAUGUUAUGAUGAUUAGCAUAAGCAAGUAAUAUUCGAAUAGCUUCAAGUCUAGCAACAGGUGCAAAAGUUUCAUCGAAAUCUAUUCCUUCAACCUGGGUGUAGCCUUGGGCUACAAGUCGUGCCUUGUUCCUCACCACUUGACCGUCCUCAUCUUGCUUGUUUCGGAAAAUCCACUUGGUGCCGAUGAUGUUGUGCUUGCGAGGAUCUGGUCGUUUGACGAUCUGCCAUACGUCAUUCAGCUUGAAUUGAAGAAGUUCGUCUUGCAUAGCUUGGAUCCACUCCGGUUCCAGAAAAGCCUCAGCAACUUUUGAGGGUUCUGUGAUGGAUACAAAGGAAAAGUGCCCACAAAAGUUAACUAAGUGUGAAGCUUUUGAGCGAGUGAGAGGACCUGGCGCGUUGAUGUCAUUGAGGAUUUUGUCAAGUUCUACUUCGUUUGCAAUCCUCGGAUGAACUGGUUGAGGAUUUUGUCUGGGCUGAGGAAGUGGUGCUGAUGCAAUUUCCUCAGGAGCAUCUUCUUGGUUUUUAUCAGAGAUGGGGAUCGUUUUUCAUCAAUUUCCUCAGAUGGGACAAUGUCUUCAGUAGGCUUGAGCUUUAUUGCUUCCUCAGGAGACAGCUUAUCUGGAUCAGAAGGCAAUUGCUCUCUUUGCGAGCCAUUAGUUUCAUCGAACCGCACAUCUACAGUCUCAACAACUUUGUUGUGAUAGUUGUUGAAGACUCUGUAAGUGUGCGAGUCCUUUCCAUAACCGAGCAUAAAACCUUCAUAUGCCUUAGGUGCAAAUUUGAGCUAUGGUGAGGAUCUCUAAUCCAGCAUUUUGCAUCGACGACUUUGAAAUAACUUACAUUGGGUUUCUUGUCAGUGAGGAGUUCAUAUGAGGUUUUCUUGAGGAAUUUGUGAAGAUAUACCCUGUUGAUGAUAUGGCAUGCAGUGUUGAUUGCUCCAGGCCAAAAGUGUCGAGGAGUCUGAUAUUCUUCAAGCAUGGUUCUCGCCAUUUCAACCAGAGUCCUGUUCUUCCUUUCGACGACACCAUUCUGCUGAGGAGUAUAAGGAGCAGACAAUUCGUGAGUAAUACCAAGUUCAUCAAGAUAAUCAUCAAGACCAGUGUUUUUGAACUCGGUUCCAUUAUCACUCCUGAUAUGUUUGAUCUUGAUGCCAAAGUUCGUCGAGGCCCUUGAAGAAUAUCGUUUGAAGAUUUCCUGCACUUCAGUUUUAUACACUAUGAUAUGCACCCAAGUGUAUCUGGAAUAAUCAUCAACUAUGACGAAGCCAUAUAGAGAUGCUGCAUUGGUUAGUGUGGCAUAGUGAGUAGGUCCAAAUAAAUCCAUAUGAAGCAAUUUGAAUGGACGUGUAGUGGUCAUGACGGUUUUGGAGGGAUGCUUGGAUCUGGUCAUUUUCCCAGAUUCACAAGCACUGCAGAGAUGAUCCUUGAGGAAUUUGACUGAUUCGAUGCCGAUGACAUGCUUCUUCUUCGCGAGCGUGUGCAAAUUCCUCAUGCCUGCAUGACUUAGUCUUCGGUGGCACAACCAUCCUUCUGAGGUUUUUGCUAGCAAGCAAGUGGCUGGUUGAGGACCUGUAGAGAAAUCAACAAUGUACAAAUCCCCUCUUCUUACACCUUCGAAAACUUUGGAUCUGUCAGAUUCCAUGAUGACUACACAUCUAUAUCUACCAAAGAUAACAAUCAUAUCAAGAUCACAAAGCAUCGAGACUGACAUAAGUUUAAAACCAAGGGAUUCAACAAGCAUCACUUUGUCCAUAUGCCUAUCCUUGGAAAUAGCCACUUUGCCAAGUCCCAAUACCUUGCUUUUACCUUUGUCAGCAUAUGUGAUUUGCUUCAGAGGUGAUGGAGUUAGUGGCAUAUUCAUCAGUAAGCUUUUAUCACCAGUCAUGUGAUGUGUGUAGCCACUAUCAAGAACCCACUCAGUAUUCUUGGGUUUGUCAUCCUGCAGAUGAAUUAGUACUGCUUACCAUCUCAUAUGCUUCAGAUUUGAAGAAUAUGAUACUAAUUUCAUCAGAUCAGUAAUUUCAUCAUAACAGAAAUGUAAGUACGAGUGAAAUAUAUCUAUUUCAUCAAUCAUUAGCUUGCGUCCUAUCAAGCAUUUCCUCAGGUCUCCAGCAAAUUCUUCAGAUGAUGAUUUUCAUCUGGAGACCUGUCCUGCAGAAGUGAUUAGUUUGAUUUCUUCACCACCCACAUCUGAAGGGGUGGCAAAGCGUUCAUCAUCCUGCGAGCACCAUAUGAGAGAGGUGGCAUUGAAGCCAAUGCACUUCUCUUAGCAGUAGGGGGAUUAAAGUACUCAUAUGAAUAUGCAGAGAACUGGUUUGAGGAUUUAUGAACAUAAUGAUUUGAGGAGUAACGUUCAUAUUCAUAUUCCUUGUAAUUUCCCUGCAUGUUAGAUGCAUAAGCACGGGUACGAGCAUAGUUUUGACCAGUUGAGGAUUUUGAUCCUCUUGAAGACUUUGGUUCUCCUAAGGAAUUUGAUCUGGGGUUCAGAUUCUUCAGUGGUGGUGUCAUGAGGACAUUCACCUGAAGAUUUUCAAGACAACUUUUGGGAACCCAGAUUUUCCUCAGAGGAGGGCCAUUCCUGCAGUUAGUUCCAACAUAUCGAGCAAAUACUUCACCAGAUUGAUUUUUGAACAGUUUAUAGUUGGAAUCAAAUGACUCAUCCGAGGAAUAGGAUAAUUCACAUGCAAAGCGAGUUAGAUUAGAUGGAUCAAAAGGAGGCCCAGUAGCAGCAACCCAUGAGGUUUUGGGAUACUGCUCAGGUUUCCAAUAAGAUCCAUCAGCAUUUAAUUUCCUCUCAAAGGCAAUUCCUUCGUUCCUCGGGUUCCUGUUCAAGAUCUGCUUUUUGAGCACAUCACAAUGGGUUUGAUGUGCUUUGAGGCUUUUGUACAUGCCUGUCACGUACAAUUCCUUCAAUCCUUUGAACCUUUUGCCAUGAAGCAAUAGGUUGGAGCGAUGUCAUCAGCAUAGUCAUCAGUAUGGAUGGUGCAAUCAUUUUGUUCAAGAUUGAAGAUUGACUUGCUGACGAAAGUGGUUGCUAGUGCAAGACUAGCCUGUCCAGAUUCUGAGUCUUCAUCAGAACCCUCUUCUUCAUCACAUUCCUCUGAUUCUGCCUCGGAGUCCAUUUCCUUGCCAAUAAGUGCCCGAGCCUUUCUGAAACUAGUCUUCUUGUGCGAUGAGGGCUUUGAAGAUGAGGAUUUUGAAGAUUUCUUCUUCUUCUUCGAGUCAUCAGAACUGUCAUCCUUGUAUUUCUUCUUCUUUGAUUCCUUUCCCCAACCGGGACAAUCAGAAAUGUAAUGACCUGAUUUCUUGCACUUGUGACAGGUUCGUUUCUUGUAGUCCUCAGAUGAAGAUUCUGAUUUCCUCAUGUCUCUUCUUGAAGAUUUACCGAACUGACCACGUCGUGUAAAUCUCUGGAAUUUCCUCACGAGCAUUGCAAGCUCCUGUCCAAAUUCUUCAGGGUCACAAAUGCUGUCAUCUGUGUCUUCGUCUUCAGAUGAGGAAAUUGCUCCAGCCUUCAGUGCACGUGGUCUGGAAUAGCUUGGUCCAUAUAGAUCUCUCUUUUCUUCUAGUUGGAAUUCAUGAGUAUUCAACCUUUCUAGUAUAUCAGCUGGAUCAAGCAUCUUGUAAUCUGGUCUUUCUUGAAUCAUCAGAACUAAAGUAUCAAAUGAAGAAUCCAAAGAUCUCAGCAGUUUCUUCACAACUUCGUGAUCAGUGAUGUCUCGAGCUCCCAGUGCUUGCAGUUCAUUUGAUAUGUCAGUGAGGCGAUCAAAGGUGUCUUGGCAGCUUUCAUUGUCAUGUCUCUUGAAGUGAUUGAAGAGAUUGCGAAGAAUAUCAACACGAGAGUCACGCUGGGUUGAUACUCCUUCAUUUACCUUGCAUAGUCUCUCCCAGAUCAGUGUUGCAGAGCCCAAAGCACUUACUCUUCCAAACUGGCCUGGGCUCAGAUGGCCACAGAUGAUGUUCUUCGCUUGAGAAUCGAGUUGCUUGAAUUUCUUCACAUCAGCCGCAGUGACACUGGCAGAGAUGAUGGGGACACCAUUUUCCACAAUAUACCAGAGAUCAUUAUCAAUAGCUUGUAGAUGCAUUUGCAUUUUGUUCUUCCAGAAGGGAAAGUUCUUUCCUUCGUAGGUAGGACAUGCUGCAGUCACCUUAAACAUGCCUGCAGUCAACAUAACUAAAACUCCAGGUGGUUAAACCAAAAUCACACAGAACAAGGGAGUACCUUGCUCUGAUACCAAUUGAAAGUGCGUUAUAUCGACUAGAGGGGGUGAAUAGGAGAUUUUCAGAAUUUCAUCACUGAGGAAAUUCCUUUUGAGGAAAUUCCUCACUGAUGACUAACUUACAGCGGAAACAGUAAAGGAUCAGCCGUGCAAACGUUCACAACAACAAUAUUUCAGAGUGAAGAAUGUGAAAACAUAUUGCACAGUAAGCAGGCACGCAGAAUACAGAUGAAGAUUAACUAUCGNNNNNNNNNNNNNNNNNNNNNNNNNNNNNNNNNNNNNNNNNNNNNNNNNNNNNNNNNNNNNNNNNNNNNNNNNNNNNNNNNNNNNNNNNNNNNNNNNNNNNNNNNNNNNNNNNNNNNNNNNNNNNNNNNNNNNNNNNNNNNNNNNNNNNNNNNNNNNNNNNNNNNNNNNNNNNNNNNNNNNNNNNNNNNNNNNNNNNNNNNNNNNNNNNNNNNNNNNNNNNNNNNNNNNNNNNNNNNCCAACUGCUGUGACAGUUGUACAUCUAGUUUGGAGCGGCUUGGUAUUGAAACCAAAGGACACCCAGUCCCGGGACACACAGUCCCUACCGUAUUCUCCUUGAGCUAAGGACACACAGUCCUCNNNNNNNNNNNNNNNNNNNNNNNNNNNNNNNNNNNNNNNNNNNNNNNNNNNNNNNNNNNNNNNNNNNNNNNNNNNNNNNNNNNNNNNNNNNNNNNNNNNNCUUGACCGCUGUCCAGUGAUCCACUCCUGGAUUACUCUGGAACCUACCUGCCAUACUUAUGGCCAGGCUAACAUCCGGUCUAGUGCACAGCAUCGCAUACAUGAUAGAACCUAUGGCCGAAGCAUAGGGGACGGAGCGCAUAUGCUCUCUAUCUUCAUCAGUUGCUGGGCACUGAGUUUUACUCAAUCUCGUACCUUGUAAAACUGGCAAGAACCCUUUCUUAGACUGUUCCAUUUUGAACCUUUUCAAAACUUUAUCAAGGUAUGUGCUUUGUGAAAGUCCUAUCAGGCGUUUUGAUCUAUCCCUAUAGAUCUUAAUGCCUAGAAUGUAAGCAGCUUCUCCUAGGUCCUUCAUAGAGAAACUUUUAUUCAAGUAACCUUUUAUGCUCUCCAAAAGCUCUACAUUGUUUCCAAUCAGUAAUAUGUCAUCCACAUAUAAUAUUAGAAACGCCACAGAGCUCCCACUCACUUUCUUGUAAAUACAAGAUUCUCCAACCACUUGUAUAAACCCAAAUGCUUUGAUCACCUCAUCAAAACGUUUGUUCCAACUCCGAGAUGCUUGCACCAGUCCAUAAAUGGAUCGCUGGAGCUUGCACACCUUGUCAGCAUUUUUAGGAUCGACAAAACCUUCGGGUUGCAUUAUAUACAACUCUUCCUUAAGGAAACCGUUAAGGAACGCCGUUUUGACAUCCAUUUGCCAGAUUUCAUAAUCGAAAAAUGCAGCUAUUGCUAACAUGAUUCUGNNNNNNNNNNNNNNNNNNNNNNNNNNNNNNNNNNNNNNNNNNNNNNNNNNNNNNNNNNNNNNNNNNNNNNNNNNNNNNNNNNNNNNNNNNNNNNNNNNNNACGCCUGAUAGGACUUUCACAAAGCACAUACCUUGAUAAAGUUUUGAAGAGGUUCAAAAUGGAACAGUCCAAGAAAGGGUUCUUGCCAGUUUUACAAGGUACGAGAUUGAGUAAGACUCAGUGCCCAGCAACUGAUGAAGAUAGAGAGCAUAUGCGCUCCGUCCCCUAUGCUUCAGCCAUAGGUUCUAUCAUGUAUGCAAUGUUGUGCACUAGACUGGAUGUUAGCCUGGCCAUAAGUAUGGCGGGUAGGUNNNNNNNNNNUCGUCCCCUAUGCUUCAGCCAUAGGUUCUAUCAUGUAUGCGAUGCUGUGCACUAGACUGGAUGUUAGCCUGGCCAUAAGUAUGGCGGGUAGGUUCCAGAGUAAUCCAGGAGUGGAUCACUGGACAACGGUCAAGAAUAUCCUGAAGUACCUGAAAAGGACUAAGGAGAUGUUUCUCGUGUAUGGAGGUGACGAAGAGCUCGCCGUAAAAGGUUACGUCGAUGCAAGCUUUGACACAGAUCCGGACGACUCUAAGUCACAAACCGGAUACGUAUUUAUUCUNNNNNNNNNNNNNNNNNNNNNNNNNNNNNNNNNNNNNNNNNNNNNNNNNNNNNNNNNNNNNNNNNNNNNNNNNNNNNNNNNNNNNNNNNNNNNNNNNNNNUGGGCGCCAUGGCGGCUCUGGCCAAGGGCUGCGGCACGAGGCGGCCAUGGCCGGCGAGCUGGGGCGCGGGGGAACUCCGGCGGACAUCCGACAGGCGGGCGGUGGCGCUAGCUCCGGCGAGCAUCCGGCAGGCGGGGCAGCUCAGGCGCGCGGCUCGGGAGGUGAAGCUCGGGAGCAAGGAGGAACCAGCGGCGGCGCUCGGUCAAGGAAGGCUCGGGCACGGGGCUGGCUCACGGCGGUUGCCGAUCCGGGCCCGGGAGGGCCGGAUCUGAGCCUCGGGCGGGCCGCGACGGCUGAGGGGAGAGAGGGCGCUGGAGUGGAUGCGUGAGAGAGGUGGGAGGCGGCUAGGGUUUGAGGGGUGGUGCGGAUUUCGAGGAGAGAAGGAGAGAGGCUGUCUAAAUUAAGAGAGGGUCUAUAUAUAGACAAACGGGGGGGCUAGGCUAGCCGGAAUUUCGUUCCGGAUCCAACCGUGCGGUCGGAUUCGGACGAUUCCGAACGCGGGAACGGUACGCGGUCGCGUAGAGGGGAUAACCGGAGACGAGAGGGAGAACGGGCGGUGCGGCAACGAGUUUUAAAACACCGGCAGAUGUCCGAUGAAUAACCGAAGACGGUGCCGCUACGGUCGACCGCUCGGGUACCAGACGGACUCCGAUCGCGAUGAAAUUCGACAGGCGGCCUAGCUAUAUCUAAUUACGACCGCAUGCCAAGUUUCACCCCGAUCAGAGAAAGUUUUCAACACACUUUUAAAACAGGGUUUCGAACGAUGCCGCGGGCGCGUGCGAGUGCGGUUGGACUCAGAACGGACAACGACGAGAACCGGCAACUACUAACGCAUGCAAAUUUUGAAAACUGGCGGCAACGGAGAUGCCGAUGCAAUGCAGAUGAUGUGAAUGAUGCGAUGAUGAUGCAACAAAUAAAAAUACCCACACGACGGAAACGGAAAGGAAAGGGGAAUCUUCUGGAACGUCGGCAUCGGGNNNNNNNNNNAAUGCAAGUUUUGAAAACUGGCUGCAACGGAGAUGCCGAUGGAAUGCAGAUGAUGUGAAUGAUGCGAUGAUGAUGCAACAAAUAAAAAUANNNNNNNNNNNNNNNNNNNNNNNNNNNNNNNNNNNNNNNNNNNNNNNNNNNNNNNNNNNNNNNNNNNNNNNNNNNNNNNNNNNNNNNNNNNNNNNNNNNNGAGAUAUAUAUACAGAGUUGGCUUACACUCUCCACAAGCUACAUCAGAGUCACAUCAGUACAUUACAUAAUCAUCAAGAGUAAGAGCAGGGUCCGACUACGGACGAAAUCAAACGAGAAAAAAAAUAAGAAUGACGUCCAUCCUUGCUAUCCCAUCCUGCCGGCCUGGAACCCAUCCUAGAUCGAUGAAGAAGAAGAAGAAGAAGAAGAAGCAACUCCAAAUGAACAAUCAACGCGCUCGCGUCAAGUAAUCUUUACCUGAACCUGCAACUGGUGUUGUAGUAAUCUGUGAGCCACAGGGGACUCGGCAAUCUCAUUCCCAAAGGUAUCAAGACUAGCAAAGCUUAAUGGGUGAGGUAAGGUAAGUGGUGAGGUUGCAGUAGCGGCUAAGCAUAUAUUUGGUGGCUAAACUUACGAGUACAAGAAAUAAGAGGGGGAUGAUCUACGCAUAGCGGACGUGACUACUGCUGAUCAAAUGAAUGAUCCUGAACACACCUACCUACGUCAGACAUAACCCCGUCGUGUCCUCGAUCGGAGAAGGAACUCACGAAAGAGACAGUCACGGUUACGCACACAGUUGGCAUAUUUUAAUUAAGUUAACUUCAAGUUAUCUAGAACCAGUGUUAAACAAAGCUUCNNNNNNNNNNCCGCCGUGUCCUCGAUCGGAGAAGGAACUCACGAAAGGGACAGUCAUGGUUACGCACACAGUUGGCAUAUUUCAAUUAAGUUAACUUCAAGUUAUCUAGAACCAGUGUUAAACAAAGCUUCCACGUUGCCACAUAACCGCGGGCACGGCUUUCCGAAAGAUUUAACCCUGCAGGGGUGCUCCAACUAGUCCAUCACAAAUUACCACAAGCCGCAUAGAAAUCCUCAAUCACGAAGCUCGCGAUCUCAUCGGAUUCCCUAGUGGAAAACCUCAACUCUGAGAUUACCCAAAGCAUCACCGGAAUCCCGAUGCACAAGAUAUCUCGUCAAAGGUAAAACUAGUCCAGCAAGGCCGCCCGGCGUGUCGACGAUCCCGAUAGGAGCCGCUUAUCUCGUUCUCAGGACACGACGGAUAAGCACAGCGUACGGUGGCCUGNNNNNNNNNNNNNNNNNNNNNNNNNNNNNNNNNNNNNNNNNNNNNNNNNNNNNNNNNNNNNNNNNNNNNNNNNNNNNNNNNNNNNNNNNNNNNNNNNNNNACACACACACACACACACACACAUAUAUAUGUCUGUGUGUGUGUGUAUUAUGCUCAUCGACGCCGAAAGGUAGAUUUUUUAAAUAAAUAUCAAGUGCCACCGGCUAAUAGACCGGGGGCUUGGAUAAAUACCGCCCCGAGCACUACCCCAUCACUACCAUUUUCUUAGUGUUCGACUUUCUUGGAUAUUUCUUUUAUAUGCAUCGGUUCUGAAUUAUGUCUUGAGUCAAUAUUUGGGUUGCCCUGCUCCUGUGCAUACCCCCUUAAGUUCCACUAGUUCGGCUAAAGGGGUAAAUGGAGAACCACUGCAACUGUAUUCCCAGCUGGCCUGGCUAAAAUACCUCAGUGGAGAAAGCCGAAAAGUGACCGUCAUAAUGAGCAAGAACCGGUCUACAAACCGAGCAUAAAUACUACAAACUGAUGGAGGUUUUGUUCCGUGUUAUACGGAAAGGUUUUGUCACGCCCAAGAUGCGACCCUAUCCUCAAUUUGGCACGAAGGCCUCGUCAAGGAUAGAAGCGCAUCUCAUCGUGUCGCAAGAAUGGAUAUCGUUACAAGUACAUGUACUGAAAAGAUAAGAUAUAUAUAUUUAGAAUUGGCUUACACUCGCCACAAGCUACAUCAGAGUCACAACAGUACAGUACAUAUUCAUCAAGAGUAAGAGCAGGGUCCGACUACGGACGAAAACAAAUGACAAAAGAAGAACGACGUCCAUCCUUGCUAUCCCAGGCUACCGGCCUGGAACCCAUCCUAGAUCGAUGAUGAAGAAGAAGAAGAAGCAACUCCAAAUGAAUAAUCAACGCGCUCGCGUCAAGUAACCUUUACCUGUACCUGCAACUGGUGUUGUAGUAAUUUGUGAGCCACAGGGGACUCAGCAAUCUCAUUUCCAAAGGUAUCAAGAUUAGCAAAGCUUAAUUGGUGAGGUAUGGUUAAGUGGUGAGGUUGCAGCAGCGGCUAAGCAUAAAUUUGGUGGCUAAACUUACGAGUACAAGAAAUAAGAGGGGGAAGAUCUACGCAUAACGGACGUGACUACUGAUGAUCAAAUGAAUGAUCCUGAACACCUACCUACGUCAGACAUAACCGCACCGUGUCCUCGAUCGGAGAAAGAACUCACGAAAAAGACAGUCACGGUUACGCACAAAGUUGGCAUAUUUUAAUUAAUUAACUUCAAGUUGUCUAGACGACAACGACGAUAACAACGAGAAUGACGAGAACAACGACAAGAACAAAAACAACGCCAACAAAGACAACAACAACAUCAACGACAACAACAACAAGAACAACAACAACAACAACAACAACAGCAACAACGAAGACAGUGUUAAACAAAGUUUCCCCGUUGCCACAUAACCGCGGGCACGGCUUUCCGAAAAGAUUUAACCCUGCAGGGGUGCUCCAACUAGUCCAUCAAAAUUACCACAAGCCGCAUAGAAAUCCUCAAUCACGAAGCUCGCGAUCNNNNNNNNNNNNNNNNNNNNNNNNNNNNNNNNNNNNNNNNNNNNNNNNNNNAUCAAAGGUAAAACUAGUCCAGCAAGGCCGUCCGGCGUGUCGACGAUCCCGAUAGGAGCCGCGUAUCUCGUUCUCAGGACACGACGGAUAAGCACAGCGUACGGUGGCCUGNNNNNNNNNNCUUCGUCAAAGGUAAAACUAAUCCAGCAAGGCCGCCCGACGUGUCGACGAACCCGAUAGGAGCCGUGUAUCUCGUUCUCAGGACACGACGGAUGGAAAAGCCUAUAGGUGCCAAACCUCGAGUUGCCCCGUGGUGGCCCCGCAGUCUGUCCAGUUUGGACCAACACUCAUGAAGAGCACUGGCCCGAGGGUUGAUUAAAUUAUCCUCGGGGUCCGGAAAGUCCCUAUGCAAUUUUAUUAGGUGAUUAGGAAAAUGUAGUACCAAUGUUGGGCCUUGCCAGACCAGCUUUAAUCUAAAACGAAUUAUCAAGGGGGUCCCCAUAACAACCCCGAUCGNNNNNNNNNNNNNNNNNNNNNNNNNNNNNNNNNNNNNNNNNNNNNNNNNNNNNNNNNNNNNNNNNNNNNNNNNNNNNNNNNNNNNNNNNNNNNNNNNNNNUUUGCGAUGCUGAAAGUCGCAGAGUCUGAACUCCGUAAAGAGCAUCAAGUGUUGAUGGUGAGCAAGACCACUAGUUUCAAGAGAAACGGCAAAGGCAAGAAGGGCAAUUCGAAGAAGAGCGGCAAGCCUGUUGCCAAUCCGCCGAAGAAACCCAAGGCUGGACCUAAGCCUGAAACAGAGUGCUUCUAUUGCAAGGGUAUGGGUCACUGGAAGCGCAAUUGCCCCAAGUAUCUGGCAGAUAAGAAGGCGGGCAAAGAAAAAUCAGGUAUAUUAAAUAUACAUGUUAUUGAUGUGUACUUAACCGGCUCUCGUAGUAGUGCCUGGGUAUUCGAUACCGGUUCUGUUGCUCACAUUUGCAACUCGAAACAGGAACUGCGGAAUAGACGAAGGCUGGCGAAAGACGAAGUGACGAUGCGCGUAGGAAAUGGUUCCAAGGUUGAUGCAAUCGCCGUCGGCACAGUGUCACUUCAGCUACCAUCGGGAUUAGUGAUGAACUUAAAUCAUUGUUAUUUAGUGCCUGCGUUGAGCAUGAACAUUAUAUCUGGAUCUUGUUUAUUGCGAGACGGUUACUCUUUUAAGUCUGAGAAUAAUGGUUGUUCUAUUUCUAUGAGUAACAUCUUUUAUGGUCAUGCACCGAAUGUGAGAGGAUUGUUCAUAUUGAAUCUUGAUAGCGAUACGCAUAUACAUAACAUUGAGACCAAAAGAGUUAGAGUAAACAAUGAUAGCGCCAUAUUUUUGUGGCACUGCCGCUAGGGUCAUAUUGGUGUAAAGCGCAUGAAGAAACUCCAUGCUGAUGGACUUUUGGAGUCACUUGAUUUUGAUUCACUUGACACGUGCGAACCAUGCCUCAUGGGCAAGAUGACUAAGACUCCGUUCUCCGGAACAAUGGAGCGUGCAAGUGACUUGUUGGAAAUCAUACAUACCGAUGUGUGUGGUCCAAUGAGCGUAGAGGCACGUGGCGGAUAUCGUUAUUUCCUCACCUUCACUGACGAUUUAAGUAGAUAUGGUUAUGUCUACUUGAUGAAACACAAGUCUGAAACAUUUCAAAAGUUCAAGCAAUUCAGAGUGAAGUGGAAAAUCAUCGUAACAAGAAGAUCAAGUUCCUACGGUCUGAUCAUGGGGGUGAAUAUCUGAGUUUCGAGUUUGGUGCUCACUUAAGACAAUGUGGAAUUGUUUCACAGUUAACACCGCCUGGAACACCACAGCGUAAUGGUGUGUCCGAACGUCGUAAUCGUACUUUGUGAGAGAUGGUGCGAUCUAUGAUGUCUCUUACUGAUUUGCCGUUAUCAUUUUGGGGUUAUGCAUUAGAAACAGCUGCAUUCACUUUAAAUAGGGCACCAUCAAAAUCCGUUGAGACGACACCAUACGAACUGUGGUAUGGCAAAAGGCCAAAGUUGUCGUUUCUUAAAGUUUGGGGAUGUGAUGCUUAUGUCAAAAAGCUUCAGCCUGAAAAGCUGGAACCCAAAGCGGAAAAAUGCGUCUUCAUAGGUUACCCAAAAGAGACAGUUGGGUACACCUUCUAUCUCAAAUCCGAGGGAAAAGUGUUUGUUGCUAAGAACGGAACUUUUCUCGAGAAGGAGUUUCUCUCGAGAGAAUUGAGUGGGAGGAAGAUAGAACUUGACGAGGUUGUCGAACCUCUCAUCCCUCUGGAUGGUGGCGCAGGGCAAGGGGAAACCUCUGUCGUUGCGACGCCGGUUGAGGAGGAAGUUAAUGAUGAUGAUCAUGAAACUCCUGUUCAAGUUUUUGUUGAACCACGCAGGUCGACGAGAUCACGCGCUGCUCCAGAGUGGUAUGGUAAUCCCGUCUUAUCAAUCAUGUUGUUAGACAACAAUGAACCUGCAAAUUAUGAAGAAGCAAUGGUGGGCCCAGAUUCCAACAAAUGGCUAGAAGCCAUGAAAUCCGAGAUAGGAUCCAUGUAUGAGAACAAAGUGUGGACUUUGGAGAUACUGCCUGAGGGCCGCAAGGCUAUUCAGAACAAAUGGAUCUUUAAGAAGAAGACGGACGCUGACGGUAAUGUGACCGUUUAUAAAGCUCGACUUGUGGCAAAGGGUUUUUCACAAGUUCCAGGAGUGGACUACGAUGAGACCUUCUCACCCGUAGCGAUGCUUAAGUCCGUCAGAAUCAUGUUAGCAAUAGCUGCAUUUUUCGAUUAUGAAAUCUGGCAGAUGGCUGUCAAAACGGCGUUCCUUAACGGUUUCCUUAAGGAAGAGUUGUAUAUGAUGCAACCCGAAGGUUUUGUCGAUCCUAAAAAUGCUGAUAAAGUGUGCAAGCUCCAGCGAUCCAUUUAUGGACUGGUGCAAGCAUCUCGGAGUUGGAACAAACGUUUUGAUGAGGUGAUCAAAGCAUUUGGGUUUAUACAAGUGGUUGGAGAAUCUUGUAUUUACAAGAAAGUGAGUGGGAGCUCUGUGGCGUUUCUAAUAUUAUAUGUGGAUGACAUAUUACUGAUUGGAAACAAUGUAGAGCUUUUGGAGAGCAUAAAAGGUUACUUGAAUAAAAGUUUCUCUAUGAAGGACCUAGGAGAAGCUGCUUACAUUCUAGGCAUUAAGAUCUAUAGGGAUAGAUCAAAACGCCUGAUAGGACUUUCACAAAGCACAUACCUUGAUAAAGUUUUGAAAAGGUUCAAAAUGGAACAGUCUAAGAAAGGGUUCUUGCCAGUUUUACAAGGUACGAGAUUGAGUAAAACUCAGUGCCCAGCAACUGAUGAAGAUAGAGAGCAUAUGCGCUCCGUCCCCUAUGCUUCGGCCAUAGGUUCUAUCAUGUAUGCGAUGCUGUGCACUAGACCGGAUGUUAGCCUGGCCAUAAGUAUGGCAGGUAGGUUCCAGAGUAAUCCAGGAGUGGAUCACUGGACAGCGGUCAAGAAUAUCCUGAAGUACCUGAAAAGGACNNNNNNNNNNNNNNNNNNNNNNNNNNNNNNNNNNNNNNNNNNNNNNNNNNNNNNNNNNNNNNNNNNNNNNNNNNNNNNNNNNNNNNNNNNNNNNNNNNNNGAGUGGGCCCCGAGAUACCUCUCCGUCAUACGGAGUGACAAAUCCCAGUCUUGAUCCAUACUAACUCAACUAACACCUUUGGAGAUACCUGUAGAGCAUCUUUAUAGUCACCCAGUUAUGUUGCGACGUUUGAUACACAAAAAGCACUCCUCCGAUGUCAGUGAGUUAUAUGAUCUCAUGGUCAUAGGAAUAAAUACCUGACACGCAGAAAACAGUAGCAACAAAAUGACACGAUCAACAUGCUACGUCUAUUAGUUUGGGUCUAGUCCAUCACGUGAUUCUCCCAAUCACGUGAUCCAGUUAUCAAGCAACAACACCUUGUUCAUAAUCAGAAGACACUGACUAUCAUCGAUCAACUGGCUAGCCAACUAGAGGCAUGCUAGGGACGGUGUUUUGUCUAUGUAUCCACACAUGUAAAUGAGUCUUCAUUCAAUACCAUUAUAGCAUGGAUAAUAAACUAUUAUCUUGAUACAGGAAUUAUAAUAAUAACUAUACAUUUAUUAUUGCCUCUAGGGCACAAUUCCAACAAGUUGCGGGAUCUUGUAUUACGGAAUGAGUAAAGAGACUUGCCGGUAAACGAGAUUGAAAUAGGUAUGCGUAUACUGACGAUCGAAUCUCGGGCAAGUAACAUACCGAAGGACAAAGGGAAUGACAUACGGGAUUAUAUGAAUCCUUGGCACUGAGGUUCAAACGAUAAGAUCUUUGUAGAAUAUGUAGGAUCCAAUAUGGGCAUCCAGGUCCCUCUAUUGGAUAUUGACCGGGCAGUCACUCGGGUCAUGUCUACAUAGUUCUCGAGCCCGCAGGGUUUGCACACUUUAGGUUCGACGUUGUUUUAUGCGUAUUUGAGUUAUAUGGUUGGUUACCGAAUGUUGUUCGGGGUCCCGGAUGGGGUCACAGACGUCACGAGGGUUUCCGGAAUGGUUUGGAGACGAAGAUUGAUAUAUAGGAUGACCUCAUUUGGUUACCGGAAAGUUUUCGGGCAUUACCAGAAAAGUUUCGGGCUCAUCGGUAGUGUACCGGGAGUGCCGGGAGGGGUGACGGGGACCGUCGAGAGGGGUGUCACGCCCCAAGGGGUCUCAUGGGCUAUGGGAAGAGAUAAACCAGCCCCUAGUGGGCUGGAAUAAGUUCCCACUAAGGCCCAUAAGGUUUGAGAAGGGAAAAACACAAGGUGGAAAGAGUUUCCAAGUGGGAAGGUGGAAUCCUACUCCAAGUAGGAUUGGAGUAGGACUCCUCCACCUCAAAUUUCGGCCAAACCUUGAGGGUUUGAGGCUGCCUCCUCCCCUCUCUCCCUCCUAUAUAUAGUGGGGUUUUAGGGAUGAUUUGAGAAAACUUUUGCCACGGCAGCCCGACCACAUACCUCCACGGUUUUACCUCUAGGUCGCGUUUCUGCGGAGCUCGGGCGGAGCCCUGCUGAGAUUAGAUCACCACCAACCUCCGGAGCGCCGUCAUUCUGCCGGAGAACUCAUCUACCUCUCCGUCUCUCUUGCUGGAUCAAGAAGGCCGAGAUCAUCGUCGAGCUGUACGUGUGCUGAACGCGGAGGUGNCGCCGUCAUUCUGCCGGAGAACUCAUCUACCUCUCCGUCUCUCUUGCUGGAUCAAGAAGGCCGAGAUCAUCAUCGAGCUGUACGUGUGCUGAACGCGGAGGUGCCGUCCGUUUGGCACUAGAUCGGAGCGGAUCGUGGGACGGAUCGCGGGACGGUUCGCGGGGCGGAUCGAGGGACGUGAGGACGUUCCACUACAUCAACCGCGUUUCUUAACGCUUCUGCUGUGCGAUCUACAAGGGUACGUAGAUCGGAAAUCCCCUCUCGUAGAUGGACAUCACCAUGAUAGGUCUUCGUGCGUGUAGGAAAAUUUUGUUUCCCACGCGACGUUCCCCAACAGUGGCAUCAUGAGCUAGGUUCAUGCGUAGAUGUCUUCUCGAGUAGAACACAAAAGUUUUUGUGGGAGGUGAUGUGCGUUUUGCUGCCCUCCUUAGUCUUUUCUUGAUUCCGCGGUAUUGUUGGAUCGAAGCGGCUCGGACCGACAUUACUCGUACGCUUACGAGAGACUGGUUUCAUCGCUACGAGUAACUCUGUUGCUCAAAGAUGACCGGCGAGUGUCGGUUUCUCCAACUUUAGUUGAAUCGGAUUUGACCGAGGAGGUCCUUGGAUGAGGUUAAAUAGCAAUUCAUACAUCUCCGUUGUGGUGUUUGCGUAAGUAAGAUGCGAUCCUACUAGAUACCCAUGGUCACCACGUAAAACAUGCAACAACAAUUAGAGGACGUCUAACUUGUUUUUGCAGGGUAUGCUUGUGAUGUGAUAUGGCCAACGAUGUGAUGUGAUAUAUUGGAUGUAUGAGAUGAUCAUGUUGUAAUAGUUAAUAUCGACUUGCACGUCGAUGGUACGGCAACCAGCAGGAGCCAUAGGGUUGUCUUUAAACUAACAUUUGUGCUUGCAGAUGCGUUUACUAUAUUGCUAGGACGUAGCUUUAGUAGUAAUAGCAUGAGUAGCACGACAACCCCGAUGGCGACACGUUGAUGGAGAUCAUGGUGUGACGCCGGUGACAAGAAGAUCGUGCCGGUGCUUUGGUGAUGGAGAUCAAGAAGCACAUGAUGAUGGCCAUAUCAUGUCACUUAUGAAUUGCAUGUGAUGUUAAUCCUUUAUGCACCUUAUCUUUCUUAGAACGACGGUAGCAUUAUGAGUUGAUCUCUCACUAAAAUUUCAAGACGAAAUUGUGUUCUCCCCGACUGUGCACCGUUGCGACAGUUCUUCGUUUCGAGACACCACGUGAUGAUCGGGUGUGAUAGACUCAACGUUCACAUACAACGGGUGCAAAACAGUUGCACACGCAGAACACUCGGGUUAAGCUUGACGAGCCUAGCAUGUGCAGACAUGGCCUUGGAACACAUGAGACCGAAAGGUCAAGCAUGAAUCGUAUAGUUGAUAUGAUUAGCAUAGAGAUGCUUACCACUGAAACUAUUCUCGACUCACGUGAUGACCGGACUUGAGAUAGUGGAUUUGGAUCAUGUACUACUCAAAUGACUAGAGAGAUGUACUUUUUGAGUGGGAGUUCUUAAGUAAUAUGAUUAAUUGAACUAAUUGUCAUGAACAUAGUCUAAUGGUCUUUGCGAAUUACGAUGUAGCUUGCGCUAUAGCUCUACUAUUUUUAUAUGUUCCUAGAGAAAAUUUAGUUGAAAGUUGAUAGUAGCAAACUUUGCAGAGGAUUGUCCUCGUUGCUGCGCAGAAGGCUUAUGUCCUUAAUGCACCACUCGGUGUGCUGCCCUCGAGCUUUGUCUGUGGAUGCUGUGAACAUCCGACAUACACGUUUCUGAUGACUACAUGAUAGUUCAGUACAAAAUACUUAAUGGCUUAGAAGCAAGGCGCCAAAGACGUUUUCAAACGUCACGGAACAUAAGAGAUGUUCUAAAGAGAUGAAAUUGUGAUUUCAUGCUUGUGCCCUUGUUAAGAGGUACGAGACCUCUGACAAGAUUCUUUGUCCACAAAGUAAGGGAGAAAAGCUCAAUCGUUGAGCGUGUGCUCAGAUUAUCUGAGUACGACAAUCGCUUGAAUCAAGUGGGAGUUAAUCUUCCAGAUGAGAUAGUGAUGGUUCUCCAAAGUCACUGCCACCAAGCUGUGAGAGCUUCGUGAUGAACUAUAACAUAUCAAGGAUAGAUACAAUGAUCCUUGAGCAAUUCGCGAUGUUUGGCACUGCGAAAGUAGAAAUCAAGAAGGAGCAUCAAUAGUUGAUGGUUAGUAAAACCACUAAGUUUCAAGAAAGGCAAGGUCUAGAAGGGAUACUUCGUGAAACGGAAAAACAAUUGCUGCACUAAUGAAGAGACCCAAGAUUAAACCCAAACCCGAGACUAAGUGCUUCUGUAAUGAGGGGAACAGUCACUGAGGCGGAGCAACUCUAGAUACUUGGUAGAUAAGAAGGCUGGCAAAAGUCGAAAGAAGUAUAUUUGAUAUACAUGAUGUUGAUGUGUACUUUACUAGUACUCCUAGUAGCACGAGGGUAUUGGAUACCGGUUCGGUUGCUAAGUGAUUAGUAACACGAAAUGAAAGCUACGGCAUAAACGGAGACUAGCUAAAGGCGAGGUGACGAUACGUAUUGGAAGUGUUUCCAAGGUUGAUAUGAUCAAACGUCGCACGCUCCCUCUACCAUCGGGAUUGGUGUUAAACCUAAAUAAUUGUUAUUUGGUGCUUGCGUUAAGCAUGAACAUGAUUGGAUCGUGUUUAUUGCAAUACGAUUAUUCAUUUAAAGAGAAUAAUGGUUGCUCUAUUUACUUGAAUAAUCACCUUCAAUGGUUUAUUGAAUCUCGAUUGUAGUGUUACACAUGUUCAUGAUAUUGGUGCCAAAAGAUACGGGGUAAUGAUGAUAGUACCACUUACUUGUGGCACUGCCGCUUGAGUCAUGUUGGUAUAAAUUGCAUGAAGAGGCUCCAUGCUGAUGGAUCUUUAUACUCACUUGAUUUUGAAUCACUAGUGACAUGCAAAUCAUACCACAUGAGCAAAGCCUUGUUUUCAUUGAGAUGAAACAAGAUAGUAACUUGUUGGAAGUGAUACAUUUUGAUGUAUGCAGUCCAAUGGGUGCUGAGGCACGCAGUGGAUAUCAUUAUGUUCUUACUUCAAUGACGAUUUGAGUAGAUACAAGAGUAUUUACUUAAUGAAUCACAAGUCUGAAAUAUUGAAAAGUUCAAUUCUGUUUCAGAGUGAAGUUCGUGGUAACAAGAGGAUAAACGAUCUACGAUAUGAUCGUAGAAAUGAAUAUCUGAGUUACGAGUUUUGGUACGCAGUUAAGACAAUGUGGAAAUUGUUUCGCAGUUCAUGCCACCUGGAACAUCAUAGUGUGAUGAUGUGUCUGAACAUCAUAGCCACGCACUAUUUGGUAUGGUGCAUGCUAUGAUGUCUCUUAUCGAAUUACCACUAUCAUUUAUGGGUUAUGCAUUAGAGACAACCGCAUUCACUUUAAAUAGGGCACCGCGUAUUUACGUUGAGAUGACACAGUAUAGACUGAGGUUUAGAGAAAUCUAAACUGUCGUUUCUUGAAAGUUUGGGGCUUCGACACUUAUGUGAAAAAGUUUCAGUCUGAUAAGCUCGAACCCAAAGCGGAUAAAUGCAUCUUCAUAGGAUAUCCAAAACAGUUGGGUACAUCUCCUAUCUCAGAUCCGAAAGCAAAGUGUUUAUUUCUAGAAACGGAUCCUUUCUCGAGGAAAGGUAUAUCUCGAAAGAAUUGAGUGGGAGGGUGGUAGAACUUGAUGAGGUUAUUUGAACCAUCACUUCAACCAGUGUGUAGCAGGGCGCAUGAAGUUGUUCCUGUGGCGCCUACACCAAUUGAAGUGAAAGCUGAUGAUGGUGAUCAUCGAGCAUCGGAUCAAGUUACUACAAACCUCGUAGGUUGACAAGGUCGCGUACUACUGCAGAGUGGUACGGUAACCCUGUCUUGGAGGUCAUGUUGUUGAGCAACAGUGAACCUACGAGUUAUGAAGAAAGCAAUGGUGGGCCCCGAUUCCGACAAAUGGCUGGAGGCCAUGAAAUCCGAGAGAGGAUCCAUGUAUGAAAACAAAGUGUAGACUUUGGAAGAACUACUUGAUGGUCAUAGGACUAUUGAGUAACGAUGGAUCUUUAAAAGGAAGACAGACGAUGAUGCUGAUAAGUCACUAUUAAGAAAAGCUCGACUUGUCGCAAAGAUGUUUCCGACAAGAUCAAACAGUUGACUAUGAUGAGACUUUCUCACUCGUAGCGAUGCUAAAAUUCUGUUAGAAUUAUGUUAGUAGUUGCUGCAUUAUUUAUGAAAUAUUGCACAUAGGAUGUCAAAACAUUGUUUCCUCGAUGGUUUCCUUGAGCAAACAUUGUAUGUGAUACAACCAGGAGGUUUUGUCAAUCCUAAAGAUACUAGCAAGUAUGCAAGCUCCAGCGAUCCUUCAAUGGACUGGUGCAAGCAUCUCGGAGUUGGAAUAUACACUUUGAUGAGAUGAUCAAAGAUUUUGGGUUUGUACAAGGUUUAUGAGAAACUUGUAUUUCCAAAGAAGUGAGUGGGAGCACUAUAGAAUUUCUGAUGAGUAUAUGUGGUUGACAUAUUGUGGAUCAGAAGUAAUGUAGAAUUUCUGUAAAGCAUACAAGGUUGUUUGAAAGGAGUUUUCAAAGGAGUACCUGGAUUGCGCUACUUGAACGUUGAGCAUCGAAGAUCUAUGGGGAUAGAUCGAAAGCGCUUAAUGGAAGUUUCAACAAGAUGCAUGCCUUGACAAGUUUUUGAAGGAGUUCAAAAUAGAUCAGCAAAGAACGAGUUCUUGGUGUUGGAAUUAUGCCCUAGAGGCAAUAAUAAAUGUAUAGUUAUUAUUAUAAUUCCUGUAUCAAGAUAAUAGUUUAUUAUCCAUGCUAUAAUUGUAUUGAAUGAAGACUCAUUUACAUGUGUGGAUACAUAGACAAAACACCCUCCCUAGCAUGCCUCUAGUUGGCUAGCCAGUUGAUCGAUGAUAGUCAGUGUCUUCUGAUUAUGAACAAGGUGUUGUUGCUUGAUAACUGGAUCACGUCAUUGGGAGAAUCACGUGAUGGACUAGACCCAAACUAAUAGACGUAGCAUGUUGAUCGUGUCAUUUUGUUGCUACUGUUUUCUGCGUGUCAAGUAUUUAUUCCUAUGACCAUGAGAUCAUAUAACNNNNNNNNNNNNNNNNNNNNNNNNNNNNNNNNNNNNNNNNNNNNNNNNNNNNNNNNNNNNNNNNNNNNNNNNNNNNNNNNNNNNNNNNNNNNNNNNNNNNUAUGCGUAGAUCAUCCCCCUCUUAUUUCUUGUACUCGUAAGUUUAGCCACCAAAUAUAUGCUUAGCCGCUACUGCAACCUCACCACUUACCUUACCUCACCCAUUAAGCUUUGCUAGUCUUGAUACCUUUGGGAAUGAGAUUGCCGAGUCCCCUGUGGCUCACAGAUUACUACAACACCAGUUGCAGGUUCAGGUAAAGAUUACUUGACGCGAGCGCGUUGAUUGUUCAUUUGGAGUUGCUUCUUCUUNNNNNNNNNNNNNNNNNNNNNNNNNNNNNNNNNNNNNNNNNNNNNNNGUCUUCUUCUUCAUCGAUCUAGGAUGGGUUCCAGGCCGACAGCCUGGGAUAGCAAGGAUGGACGUCGUUAUUAUUUUUUCUCUCGUUUGAUUUCGUCCGUAGUCGGACCCUGCUCUUACUCUUGAUGAUUAUGUAAUGUACUGAUGUGACUCUGAUGUAGCUUGUGGCGAGUGUAAGCCAACUCUAUAUAUAUAUCUCUUGUUUUCAGUACAUGUACUUGUAACGAUAUCCAUUCUUGCGACACGAUGAGAUGCGCUUCUAUCCCUGACGAGGCCUUCGUGCCAAAUUGAGGAUAGGGUCGCAUCUUGGGCGUGACAAGUUGGUAUCAGAGCAGUACCGACCUAGGAGCCCCUUGAUUGAUCGAACUUGGCCGAGUCGAGUCUAGUGAAAAACUGCUUUGAGUCUAGUUAUAUGUCGGAGAGUAGGAUUCUUUUUUCUCCUCUUCUAUGCUCUGGUGAGGAAUCUUGACGUAAUAAUUUAAUUCUACUCCUCUUCUCACUCAAAUUUUUUUAGGAUCACGUGGAUAUUUUUGAGAUCUAUAUGAUGCCCAUGUGACGGAGUUCUAUCUUGGUGCCUCCAAUCUGCUCUAAGUCUCAGGGGAGUUGAGCUCCAGGGGAUUCUCGAGCACAUCUUUAUCAUUCAGAUUUCUUAGUUUCUCAGAACGAAGGAUGUUCGUAAUUGCUUCAAUACUAGUAGUGGCGAGAUAACCCCGAUGUCCCCGGUACUGGUGCAGAUUGUUCGGGAGUACUGCCAUACUUUAUAUCAUUGUGAUCACGAGGGUCUGUUGUAGAUGAAGGUCCGAGAUUCUGGUUGUGUGUUGACGGAUGUGAUACAGGUGACGGGUUAGUAUAGGAGUUUGUGAUAUUACUCCUUGUAUCCGUGUACCAGACUGCAUGACCAGAUAUUUCGGGAAUUCAUAGGUGGGAAUUCAAGUAGUUACUUAUAGGACUAUCUUCCAACAAACGCAUGAUGUUAGGUUGGGGUUCGACAUCUAGUGGAUUCCUGUCCAUGAAAAUAUCGGACGAAGUCUUUCUCAUCAGUUUGUUCUGGCUUGUUUCAUAAGUCGCACCCCUUGUCUUGUUGGAACGUGGUAAUUCGUGUUGCUUCGAUGUCAAGUGGUGAUUUCACAUCUUCUCUAAGCGGCGUUCUCAUAUUUUUGUGGGAAUGCUAAUUCUGUUUGCCCAAAUCAAUUGUCUUAUCAAUUCUUUUCCAACCGUGUGUUUCUCUCCAAGCGGAUUCAAUCCUUUCCAAUUUUUGCAAGAUCAUUCUCUCAUUUUAUUCCAGAGUUCAUCUCAUCUAGCCUAAGUUGUCUUUUAUUUUCCCCACCCUCCCACCCUUUUUCUCAGUGAUUCAAUUUUCAUCCAAGAGUUUUCUUUUCAUGGUGCUUCCGCUAUCUCUUCUUCCUUUUGUACCCGGUGAUUCGUUGUGAAGAUUCUCAGGAGCUUCAUGUUCAUCUUUAUUCAUUAUUGUCAUCCUUACCGGUGAAUUCAGUUCAGUUAUCCAUGGUCAUCAUAUCCUUUUCAACCAUUAAAUUCUUUUCAACGUUGGAAAUUCUUUCAGCCUAUCUUGUUAUUCAUUCCUCUCUUUUCAUCCGGAGUGUUGAAGAUAUCUCGGAAAUUUCGUGUUUUCAAUUCUUUUACUUAUUUCGAGGUUCUCAACCUCAUCUAGUUCUCUUGAUAACGGUGCAAUAUCUCUCUUCCAAGUAAUCUUUCCAACGGUGGUUUCUUUGAGUGGGCUCAUAACCCACAGGUUCUUUCCCAGGAUCUUUCCUGGCUCUUUUAAUCUUUUCCCGGAGAUCAUUAAUUCUUUUCAGCUAUGAUGUAAGUAUAAAUUUCAUCAGUCAUAUCCCUUCUUCAAGAUCUAUUUGAAUUUAUUCUCUUAUUUGGCUCAACCGUUCAUUCUUCAUUAUUCCGGAGUGUCUCAGUUAUUCUUGGUGGUGUUCUCCUCUUCUUUCUCAGCUUGCAGAUUCGAAGGAGUGUUUCUAUCAAAUCUUGGUCUAUUCUCUUGGAUAUUCGUCAUUUCAGCCUCGUGUUAUCAUCUUGAAUUUGUUUUCAAUCAUGAGUGAUUCAUUUCUUGAUAUCCGGUGUUUUUCUGAGUUGUUUUCAUUCUCGAUCCUCUGAAGGACAUCAUUUGAGAAGACUUCUUCGUUCUCAGCUUUCAGCUUUCAUCCUCAAUUCUUCUCCGUUGUUGUCUCUUCGUUCGUCUCUCGAUUAUUCCGGUGCCUUGUUCCAGUUUUCUCUCAGGUGGCUCAUGAUCUCAUCAUUCUCAUGUAUCUCCAUUAAUUCUUGGUUUUCCCAUUCAAUUGUGAAUUCUUACCGGUGCUUCCUUCAAUUAUGCCUCAAGUGGUGCUUAUCUCUCUGCCUCUUCAAGAUUCAUUUCUAUAAAAAUAAGUUGUAUGCUAGAUCCGUGGCUUGUCAUCAAUUUAAUUUGAUGAAGGAUAAGCAUAACAUAAUUCUUAUUCUGGUCGUAGUAUUUUGAAUUCUUCUUCCGGAGUGGCUCUUGGUAUCAAUUACUUUUCUCAAGUGUUAUUAUCUUCUCUUUUCCGGAGUUCUAAGUUUUCUCAAGUAUCUCUUCGUGAAGCUUCAUCGAAGUCUUUGCAAGGCUUCAAUCUUAUUCUUUCUUCCUUCAUGUCUUUGCAUCAUUCAUUUGUAUACGGAGGUCCUUCUUGGUGGUUCGUCAAGAUUUCAUUCAUUCUGAAGUGUUCUUCAAGAUUCCUGUUGGAGUACCUCGAGUAUCCUUUCUCUUGCAUUCAUAUGUGCAAUUGUUCUUUCUUUAUCCUUUGAGGUGGUUUUAUAGCCUUCUUGUUAGUGUAGGAGCCUCGAAGAGAUAUCCUCUCAAGAAUGAGAUAAUUAAACCCACCAAUUCUAUGAUCAUGAGAUUUUGGCAACCCAUGAAUUCUUCAUUGAGCUAUCUUGGUUUGGAUUUCACCUAAAGCUUUUCCUGUGGAUUGUUGCUAUUAUGGUGCUUGUCAUUAAUCCAAGUUCUCAAUGUAUCCUCUUGGUGUAAGAAUUGUUCAUAUCUUGUUUCUCUCAAACAAUCCUUGUUCUGUUAGUGGCUGGUUGUCACUUCAUUAGUUUGAAAGGUUUCCAUAAGCCCACUACUUUCUUGUUCUUUUCGUUGUUUGUUUUUCCAACAACUCCGUUCAAUUAUUCUUGCAAGGAUGCUUGCCAAGUUCAUUUGAGUUAGUAGUUGUCAUUCCUUCUUCAUUCUUUUCUUUCGUAUGAGCUAGUUCAUAUUCUCUUGUUCCGGUGGCAUUGUGAUGUUGCUCUUUUGGGUCUAUUAUGUUGUUCUGUCAAGAUCAUGGUGUUCCCUUGUUAUAUUUAGUUGUUGGUUGUGAAUAUUAUCUAAUUCUCUCUUCUUAUAAAUUUUUUGUCCCAUUUUCCUACCGAAGUGCUGCCGAAAUGUUCUGUGAAUUCUUGCUUCUUUCCCAUAUCAUUCCUCAUCUCUUUGCAACCUUCAAGGAUCAUUGGUUUCACUCGUUUGUCAAAGAAGCGACUAAGUUUUUACCUCUCGUUCUUUCUCAUCCUCUCCCCCUUUCAUUCUUCGAUCUCGGGGCGAGAUCCACUUGUAGUGUAGGAGAGUUGUGACAGCCCGAUGCCGACGUUCCAGAAGAUUCCCCUUUCCUUUCCGUUUCCGUCGUGUGGGUAUUUUUAUUUGUUGCAUCAUCAUCGCAUCAUUCACAUCAUCUGCAUUGCAUCGGCAUCUCCGUUGCCGCCAGUUUUCAAAAUUUGCAUGCGUUAGUAGUUGCCGGUUCUCGUCGUUGUCCGUUCUGAGUCCAACCGCACUCGCACGCGCCCGCGGCAUCGUUCGAAACCCUGUUUUAAAAGUGUGUUGAAAAAUUUCUCUGAUCGGGGUGAAACUUGGCAUGCGGUCGAAAUUAUAUAUAGCUAGGCCGUUUGUCGAAUUUCGUCGCGAUCGGAGUCCGUCUGGUACCCGAACGGUCGACCGUAGCGGCACCGUCUUCGGUUAUUCGUCGGACAUUUGCCGGUGUUUUAAAACUCGUUGCCGCGCCGCCCGUUCUCCCUCUCGUCUCCGGUUAUCCCCUCGACAUGGCCGCGUACCCGUUCCCGCGUUCGGAAUCGUCCGAAUCCGACCACACGGUUGGAUCCGGAACGAAAUUCCAGCUAACCUAGCCCCCCCGUUUGUCUAUAUAUAGACCCCCUCUUAAUUUAGACAGCCUCUCUCCUUCUCUCCUCGAAAUCCGCACCACUCCUCAAACCCUAGCUGCCUCCCACAUCUCUCCCGCAGACACUCCAGCGCCCUCUCUCCCCUCAGCCGUCGCGGCCCGCCCGAGGCCCAGAUCCANNNNNNNNNNNNNNNNNNNNNNNNNNNNNNNNNNNNNNNNNNNNNNNNNNNNNNNNNNNNNNNNNNNNNNNNNNNNNNNNNNNNNNNNNNNNNNNNNNNNNNNNNNNNNNNNNNNNNNNNNNNNNNNNNNNNNNNNNNNNNNNNNNNNNNNNNNNNNNNNNNNNNNNNNNNNNNNNNNNNNNNNNNNNNNNNNNNNNNNNNNNNNNNNNNNNNNNNNNNNNNNNNNNNNNNNNNNNNNNNNNNNNNNNNNNNNNNNNNNNNNNNNNNNNNNNNNNNNNNNNNNNNNNNNNNNNNNNNNNNNNNNNNNNNNNNNNNNNNNNNNNNNNNNNNNNNNNNNNNNNNNNNNNNNNNNNNNNNNNNNNNNNNNNNNNNNNNNNNNNNNNNNNNNNNNNNNNNNNNNNNNNNNNNNNNNNNNNNNNNNNNGGCCCAAGGUGAGCGUGCCUCUAUCCAGCGCCCGUGGUGCCUUACAGCUGUGUUGCUCGCUGUGGAUUUGGCCCAGAUUAGGAAUUCGGCCCGAUAGUAUUUUUCUUUAGGAUUUUCGAAUUAGCUAAAUUUCAGGAUAUAUAGACAUAUUAAAACCCCCGUAACUUAUAUUCCGUAAGUCGGUUCGAGGUGAUCUAUAUAUGGAUUUUGGGUAGCUUUGCGCGUAGAAUCCGUUUUCGCAACAUGCAUAAUUAUUUAACGUAGUUUUACGUGUCAAACGCCUAGUUUAACGUGUUGUCCUAUAAUGUUUGCGUCCCGUAUUAUUUUUCGCGAGUGCCCGGAUAGCCCGUAUGCCUUAGAUUAAAUGCCCAUGUUUUAGGAACCUUUUUUCCAUGUAUUUUAGAGCAGUCAUUUGUAUUCUUGCGUGUAGGGAAUUGCGGGUAGUUUAUUUUCCCGUGUAUAGGUUAUUUUCUCGCAUUUUCGUGUGGCAUUAUUUUUGUCUUGCAACCCCACAUAUUUUAUAUGUUUCCGGGGUAGAAAAUCCAUGUGAUUUUUCUGUGCAAUUAGUUUUAGCUUUUGAGAAAGUUAGUUCGCGCGAUAUUUUGCUAUGUUGCCCUCUUGUCUUUUUCUUAGGAUUUAUUUCGUGCUUCUUUUGACGGAGGUGUCAACUAGAGAGUUGUUCUUGGGUGUUUAGACUAGCCCCUGGUAUUUUUGGUUGCAAUAGAAAUGCAUGUUUAGGUGUGUUUUGAUUGCCCUCAAGUUGCUAGAAAUAGUGUUGUUUUGGACAUGCUGAAAUAUUUCUAAGUCUGGGAUCUGUUAUUAUUUUGUUGCUGUCUUGUCUUGCUUGCCUCUUGUGAUCUGUAGCUCUUUUGAGGUUGGUCCAAUGGAGUUAGUUGUACCCCUUGUGUUUCUAGAGCAUGCUGUGAAUUUUCAUGCCAUUUGGAGUCCUGUAGCUAUAGGUUUUUCUGCUGUCAAUAUUGCUUCAGAUCGAAAACUACACUUUCAUGAGGUGUAGUUUUCACUAAGUCUGAAAUAGUGUGUGGGAAGCCAUUUUGUGUCUUCUUUCCCUAGUGAUCCAUGAUGCCAUGCUAGUUGUUAGAUGCUUGUAGUAGUGCUUCUUGCCCUCUUUCGUGUCAUGCCUUGCUUGAGUUUAUCGGAUUGUGUAGCCCGUAGUUGCGGGGUGUAGAAAAUGCUUUGUGGCUGAUUUUGGCAGAUUGUAGUCAUUUCUUGUUUUGCUCGUAGUGUUUGAACCGUAGCUCCGUUUUGAUCGUGUCCUACAUGAAAAUUUCUUAGAAUCUCAUGUAGUUUCAUUUUCUCUUGCUGGUUGUGUGUUUUGAAGUGCUCGUGACCGUCGUUGCACACAUAUUGCAUUCAAGCCAUCAUAUCUUGCGGUGCUUGUAUCUUUUGACCCGUAGCUCCGUUGGAGAUGUUCUUUAUGUGUAGAUUUCUUGAAAUGGCGCAUAGAAUCACGUGAACCUAUUUUUUUUGCUGUUUAACAACUAGUUAAAUGCAUUAGUUCAGAUCUGGACAGAAUUGUAAAUUAACAUGUGAGGUCGUCUCGGAGGUGCUAUAUGUCAUUUCUGACCUCCCUUAAAAUGUCUAGGUAGGUAGUUUAAUUGCGCUUCACCUCUUGCCAUGUUUAACCACAUUUAAUGUGGCCGGGUACCUAAUCGGGAUAGAACUACAUAAAUAAACAUGGAGUUUCAUCAAUAUGCAACUCGUUGCAUAUUGAACUUCACUUAAGGUGUAGUGUUUGUUUGUGUGAAUUGUCAUGCCGUGACUUGCUUGCAUUCAGCUGCUCAUGCAUCAUAUGUGUUGUGCAUCGUGUGGUGAAUUCCGUGUGUUGAUUUGUGUUUCCGGUUUGCUUCGUCUCGAUAGAGUUCCGCAGCGUGCCGGAUUGUGAGGACCCGUUCGACUACGUCAGUUCGUCUGCUUCACGGAGGCAUUCUUCUUCCAAGCGGGAUCUGAGGCAAGAUGACCAUUUCCCCAUAUACCAUUACUAUCAUUGACAUGCUAGUCUUACUGCUUCUAUCGAUUAUGUCUCGUUGCCUACCACAUGUUAAAUACCAGCCUCUCAAUAGUGCCAUGAAACCCUUCAACCUGUUCAACCUAGCAAACCACUGAUUGGCUAUGUUACUGCUUGCUUAACCCUUGUUAGCGUUGCUAGUUCCAGGUGCAGUUGCUUCCAUGUGAAAACAUGGGUUCCUUGUUAUAUCACCCUAUUAAAUGCUAUUUAAUUUAAUGCACCUAUAUACUUGGUAAAAGGUGGAAGGCUCGGCCUUUCUAGCCUGGUGUUUUGUUCCACCUUUGCCCUCUUAGUUUCCGGCUACCGGUGUUAUGUUCCAUAACUGAGCGCUGCUAACACAAUCGGGGUUGUUAUGGGGACCCCCUUGAUAAUUCGUUUUAGAUUAAGGCUGGUCUGGCAAGGCCCAACAUUGGUACUAUUUUCCCAACAUAAUAGCUUGAUAAUAUUGAAAUGCAUAGGGAGUUAGCGCUACCCGAGGAGUAAUUCUACAUAAUACUGGGGAGCCAGUGUUGUUGGUGCUGGUCCAAAUCUAGAGCCGUUUGCGGGGCCAACCCGGGGCAACUCGGGAGAUUUCUAUCAGGCCACCGUACGCUGUGCUUAUCCGUCGUGUCCUGAGAACGAGAUACGCGGCUCCUAUCGGGAUCGUCGACACGCCGGACGGCCUUGCUGGACUAGUUUUACCUUUGAUGAGAUAUCUUGUGCAUCGGGAUUCCGGUGAUGCUUUGGGUAAUCUCAGAGUUGAGGUUUUCCACUAGGGAAUCCGACGAGAUCGCGAGCUUCGUGAUUGAGGAUUUCUAUGCGGCUUGUGGUAAUUUGUGAUGGACUAGUUGGAGCACCCCUGCAGGGUUAAAUCUUUCGGAAAGCCGUGCCCGCGGUUAUGUGGCAACGUGGAAGCUUUGUUUAACACUGGUUCUAGAUAACUUGAAGUUAACUUAAUUGAAAUAUGCCAACUGUGUGCGUAACCAUGACUGUCCCUUUCGUGAGUUCCUUCUCCGAUCGAGGACACGGCGGGGUUAUGUCUGACGUAGGUAGGUGUUCAGGAUCAUUCAUUUGAUCAUCAGUAGUCACGUCCGCUAUGCGUAGAUCAUCCCCCUCUUAUUUCUUGUACUCGUAAGUUUAGCCACCAAAUAUAUGCUUAGCCGCUGCUGCAACCUCACCACUUACCUUACCUCACCCAUUAAGCUUUGCUAGUCUUGAUACCUUUGGAAAUGAGAUUGCCGAGUCCCCUGUGGCUCACAGAUUACUACAACACCACUUGCAGGUUCAGGUAAAGAUUACUUGACGCGAGCGCGUUGAUUGUUCAUUUGGAGUUGCUUCUUCUUCUUCUUCAUCGAUCUAGGAUGGGUUCCAGGCCGGCAGGAUGGGAUAGCAAGGAUGGACGUCAUUCUUAUUUUUUUUCUCGUUUGAUUUCGUCCGUAGUCGGACCCUGCUCUUACUCUUGAUGAUUAUGUAAUGUACUGAUGUGACUCUGAUGUAGCUUGUGGAGAGUGUAAGCCAACUCUGUAUAUAUAUCUCUUCUUUUCAGUACAUGUACUUGUAACGAUAUCCAUUCUUGCGACACGACGAGAUGCGCUUCUAUCCUUGACGAGGCCUUCGUGCCAAAUUGAGGAUAGGGUCGCAUCUUGGGCGUGACAAUGCUUCCGUGUUGUAUUGGCAUUCAGCUGCCAAUGCCGCUAUAUGCUCCUCGGUCCAGAGAGAUUGCUCUGUAUUGUCGUUGACGGUGAUAACACCUCUGGGUCCUGGCAUCUUGAGCUUUAGGUAAGCGUAAUGAGUCACAUCAUUGAAGCGGGUGAAUGUUGUGCGACUGAGUAGAGCAUGGUACCUGAUGCGGAAAGGGAUGGUGUCGAAGAUUAAGUCUUUGAUGCGGAAGUUGUCAGGUGAGCCAAACACAACCUCCAAUGUUACCGUGCCCAAGAAACGGGCUUCAACACCUGGGAUCACUCCUUUAAAGGUAGUGUUCCUAGGUUUAAUUCUUGUUGGGUCUAUGCCCAUCUUUUUCACUGUGUCUGAGUAAAUCAGAUUCUUGCUACUUCCCCCAUCCAUAAGGGCUUUGGUGAGGUGAUACCCAUCUAUGAUGGGGUCUAUGACAAGGGAGGCCGACACUGCGCGACGGAUACUAGUCAGGUGAUCCCUACAAUCAAAGGUGACCGGGCAAGCCGACCAUGGGUUGCACUUCGGGGCUAUGGGCUCUACAGUAUAUACCUCUAGAAGGGCUCACUUCCUUUCCUUCUUUGGUAUGUGAGUGACAUAUAUCAUGUUCAUGGACUUCACUUCUGGGGGGAACUGUUUCUGGCUCCUAGUGUUCGGACCACGGGGCUCUUCGUCGUCCUCGCUUCGCUGGCCCAUGCAUUGUUCCUCGGCUGCUAGUUUGCCAACCUAUUUAAAACCCAACAGUUACGGUUGGUGUGGGUGUCGGUCUUGUAUUGGGUGCCAUGGAUUUGGCACGGCCUUUCCAUAAUUUCACCUAAUGGAGUCGGCCAAUCCGUGUUCCCUUCGAAGGGUUUCUUCUGCUGUCCGGAUUUUGAACUACGGAAGGAAGUAUUUAUGGUCGUGUCAUAGGUGUCACUGUUACGGUGCAGGCAUUUGCUCUUGUUUCGCCUUGGCUUGGCAUUCCCGUCCCGAACUUCAGAGGUAUUGGGGUCCUUCGCAUUAUGGCUGUGUCGAGCUAGCCAAUUAUCCUUACCCGCGUAAAAGCGGGUCAUGAGGGAAGUGAGGGCAAACAUUGUUCUCGGCCUAUCCUGGCCGAGCUCGUGAGCCAGCCAUUCGUCUCAGAUGUUGUGCCUAAAGUAGGCUAUUGCCCCGGCAUCCGGAUAGUCCACUAUCUGGUUCUUCUUGGUGAGGAACCUAUUCCAAAAUUCUCAGGCCCACUUGCCCGCCUUUUGGACGACGUUGCUGAGCUUGGAGGAGUCCGUGGGUCGGACGUAGGUUCCCUGAAAAUUAGACACGAAGGCUUCCUCGAGCUCUUCCCCACUUCCGAUAGAAUCUUCGGGCAAGCUGUUUAGACAGUGUCGUGCUAGCACUUUUAGCUUUAGGAGCAGGUACUCGAUGGCAUAGAGGUCAUCUCCCCUGGCCAUAUGGAUGUGGAGAAGUAAAUCUUCUAUCCACACGGUGGGGUCCGUAGUCCUCUUGUAUUGCUCUAUGUCUAUGGGUUUAAACACUUCCGGGAAUUGGUGCUCCAUGACCUCAUGUGUGAAGCACAGUGGGUGAGUGAUAACCCACAAGUAUAGGGGAUCAAUUGUAGUCCUUUCGAUAAGUAAGAGUGUCGAACCCAACGAGGAGCAGAAGGAUCUAACAAGUGGUUUUCAGCAAGGAAAUAUCUGCAGGCACUGAAAUUGUCGGUAACAAGUGAUUGUGUGGUGAGAUGAUUCGUAGCAAGCAACAAGUAACAAAAGUAGAAACGGUGCAGCAAAGUGGCCCAAUCCCUUUUGUAGCAAGGGACAAGCCUGGACAAAGUCUUAUAGGAGGAAAAACACUCCCGAGGACACACGGGAAUUUCUGUCAUGCUAGUUUCAUCAUGUUCAUAUGAUUCACGUUCGUUACUUUGAUAGUUUGAUAUGUGGGUGGACCAGCGCUUGGGUAAUGCCCUUACUUGGACAAGCAUCCCACUUAUGAUUAACCCCUCUCGCAAGCAUACGCAACUACGAAAGAAGAAUUAAGACAAAGUCUAACCAUAACAUUAAACUAGUGGAUCCAAAUCAGCCCCUUACGAAGCAACGCAUAAACUAGGGUUUAAGCUUCUGUCACUCUAGCAACCCAUCAUCCACUUACUACUUCCCAAUGCCUUCCUCUAGGCCCAAUUAAUGGUGAAGUGUUAUGUAGUCUACGUUCACAUAACACCACUAGAGGAAAAACAACAUACAACAUAUCAAAAUACCGAACGAAUACCAAAUUCACAUGACUACUAUUAGCAUGACUUAUCCCAUGUCCUCAGGAACAAAAGUAACUACUCACAAAGCAUAAUCAUAUUCAUGAUCAGAGAGGUAAUGAGUAGCAUCAAGGAUCUGAACAUAAACUCUUCCACCAAAUAAUCCAACUAGCAUCAACUACAAAGAGUAAUCAACACUACUAGCAACCUUACAAGUACCAAUCGGAGUCGCGAGACGUAGAUUGGUUACAAGUGAUGAACUAGGGUUUGGAGAUCGUUCUUGAUGACCCACAACCUAUUGAUGAUAGCUUUCCCGAUGAGCAACUGAAUGUCAUCAAUGCUUCACGUAGGGCAUCGUGGUAUGCUGAUUAUGCAAACUAUAUCGUUGCCAAAUACAUACCACCUAGUUUCACGUACCAGCAAAAGAAGAAAUUCUUCUUUGACUUGAGACAUUACUUCUGGGAUGAUCCUCACCUUUAUAAGGAAGGAGUAGAUGGUGUUAUUAGACGUUGUGUACCUGAACAUGAACAGGGACUGAUCCUACAGAAGUGUCAUUCUGAGGCCUACGGAGGACACCAUGCGGGAGAUAGAACUGCACACAAGUUAUUGCAAUCAGGUUUCUAUUGGCCCACUCUCUUCAAGGAUGCCCAUAAGUUUGUCUUGUCUUGUGACGAAUGUCAGAGAAUAGGUAAUAUUAGCAAACGUUACGAAAUGCCUAUGAACUAUUCACUUGUAAUUGAACCAUUUGAUGUCUGGGGCUUUGAUUAUAUGGGACCUUUUCCAAAAUCCAAUGGGUAUACUCACAUCUUCGUUGCUGUUGAUUAUGUCACUAAGUGGGUAGAAGCUAUCCCCACUAGUAGUGCUGAUCACAACACCUCUAUCAGGAUGCUGAAAGAAGUUAUCUUCCCUAGAUUUGGAGUCCCUAGAUAUCUAAUGACCGACGGUGGUUCACACUUCAUUCAUGGUGCUUUCCGUAAAACGCUUGCUAAGUAUGAUGUCAACCAUAGAAUUGCGUCUCCCUAUCACCCUCAGUCCAGUUGUCAAGUAGAGCUAAGUAAUCGAGAGAUUAAACUAAUUCUGCAAAAGAUUGUCAACAGGUCUAGAAAGAAUUGGUCUAAGAAGCUCGAUGAUGCACUAUGGGAUUAUAGAACUGCCUAUAAGAAUCCCAUGGGCAUGUCUCCAUAUAAAAAUGGUGUACGGUAAAGCAUGUCAUUUACCUCUUGAGCUAGAGCAUAAAGCUUAUUGGGCAAUCAAAGAGCUCAACGUUGAUUUCAAACUUACUGGUGAGAAGAGGUUAUUUGAUAUUAGCUCGCUUGAUGAGUGGAGAACUUAGGCAUACGAGAAUGCAAAGUUGUUCAAAGAGAAGGUUAAGAGGUGGCAUGAUAAGAGGAUACAAAAGCGUGAGUUCAAUGUAGGUGAUUAUGUCUUUCAAUAUAACUCUCAUUUAAGAUUCUUUGCAGGCAAGCUUCUCUGAAUGCGAAUGUCCCUAUGUUGUUGAGGAAGUAUAUUGUUCCGGUACUAUCAAGAUCAACAACACGGAAGGUAAUUGUCCGAGAGUGGUAAAUGGGCAGAGAAUCGAGCAUUAUAUCUCACGUACUCCCAUAAAUUUUGAAAGCAAUAUCAUCAAUACCAUAACUCCGAAAGAAUACCUAAGGGACAUCUAUCAGCAUGUUUCAGACUCCGGAAACGAAGAGGUAUGUGAUUCGGUAAGAAAACAGAGUCCAAAAGUUUCCCAAUAGGAAUUUUUCUCCGUUUUGGAAUAUUUGAAAAAAUACAAAAAUUGGAAGUAGUACGGAAAGUGCGCGAGGAAGCGACAAGCUUGCACGGCAAGGGCCCACCCCCUGGCCGCGCCGUGAGGGCUUGUGGCCACCUCGUGCGCCUCCCGGACUCCGUUUUCGUGCAGGGCCUCCUUCUGGUCUGGAAAAAAUCAUUAUAUAUACUUCCGUUUGGUCUGACCCGUGCAUCAUGCAGAUUUCCUCUGUUUUUUGUUUCGAGCCUGUUUUUUGCCGCACAUCUAGGCCAAGAUGUCAUCCCAAGAAUCUGUGGGGGAGAACAACCUCCGUCAAAUCUAUGGAGAAGUUCAUGCUGAUCUGAAAAGGAUGGAGGUCAUGGAGGCUAAGGAGAGGCUACCUAAAGAAAUCAAGGGCAAGGCUAAGGAGAAGGAUCAGGCAUGGGACGAAGUGCAAUCUAUGCUCAACAAGGAAGAAGUUGAAGAAGUGGAUUUCCUCCAAGCUUAGCUCCACCCACUGUCUCCAUCUUUGAUUGAACUCUUGAGGUUUUGUGAAACAACUCGUGCUCGCAAUACUUGUCUCACUCGUGAAGUUGUUUUGCUAGAGAAACAUAUCACAGAUCUCCAAAAGUAUAAAUCGAAGACUGAUGGCCCUCUUGGAGUCAAAGAUUGCAACAACUUCAUCACCAUCACCACCAAAGGAAGACAACUGAGCAUUGGUAUGGGAAUCCCCUUGGCUUGUGCCAAGCUUGGGGGAGUUCCCCCGGUAUCGUAUCACCAUCACAUCUUUUGCCUUUACCUUUGUUUUAGUUUUCCUUUUCAGUUUUCUCUUUCUCUAGUAGAGUAAAAGUCUUAGUGUUUUAGUCUUGAGUUUUGCUUUGUGUCACCCCCGAUGUAUUCUUGCUCGUGAUCCAUAUAAUAAAGAGUGUCUUAGUUCAAGGGCUUUACCUCUUGCAAUGAUCAAAAGAGUAAGAAAAGAACAAAAGCAUGAAAGAUCAUGUAAUGAUCUUAUGGGAAGUGAUGGCUUCACACAUAAAAAGAAUGAUGAUUGACACUUGUUGAGGGUAGGCAAACAUAGACCUUGGUCAUAGUUGCAAUUAAUAGGAAGUGAUAAGGAAGGACAGGUUCACAUAUAAAUAUAUCAUCUCUGACACCAUCUAUGAUUGUGAACACUCACUAAACUAUUACAUGCCUAGAAGUAGAUGUUAGACAAGGAAGACAACGUAAUGAAUUGUGUUUGCUUUGAUCUGAACAAUGUUAUAUGAUUAGAGAUCCCUUAGCAUGUCACGAUUGCUUUCACCUCAUAUUAGCCAAAACUCUCGCACCAAGUAGAGAUACUACUUGUGCAUCCAUAAACCUUCAAACCAGUUUUGCCAUGAGUGUCCACCAUACCUACCUAUGGAUUGAAUAAGAUCCCUCAAGUAAGUUGUCAUCGGUGCAAGCAAUAAAAAUUGCUUUCUAAUAUGUAUGAUCUAUUAGUGUGUGGAAAAUAAGCUUUAUACGAACCUGUGAUGAGGAAGACAUAAAAGCGACAGCGUGCAUAAUAAAGUUCUUUAUCACAGGGGGCAAUAUAAAGUGACGUUCCUCCGCACUAAGAGGACACGCAUCCAAACCUCAAAAGCGCAUGACAACCUCUGCUUCCCUCUGCGAAGGGCCUAUCUUGUACCUUUACUUUUUGCCCUUGAAAUAGUCAUGGUGAUCUUCACCAAUUCCUUAUUUCGCCUUUAUCUUGGCUACCGUCAUAUGCUUGGGAAAGAUCUAUAUUCAUAGGUCAACUUGGAGGUAGGCAUUCAUGAAUUAUUAUUGUUGACAUUACCCUUGAGGUAAGCAGUUGGGAGGCAAAACUGUAAGCCCCUAUCUUUCUCUGUGUCCAGCUGAAACUUUGAUCUCAUGAGUAGCAUGUGAGUUGUAGCAAUUGUAGAGAACAGAAGAAUGAUUGAGUAUGUGGAUUUUCUUUGCAAGCUCUAAUUUGACUCUUAUUAAUGUUGUGAUAAAUUGCAAUUGCUUCAAUGACUAAAUGCUAUCGGUUGUUACUUCUCGGUAAGGUUCUUGAUCCAUGCUUUACUUUGUGAAGGAAUUAUCACUUUAGCAUGAGAGAUUAUAUGUUGGUAUUGCUGUUCUGAUCUUGAUCAUGAUGCAUGCAUGUUCGUAUCUUGUUUUGUCGACACCUCUCUCCCUAAACAUGUGGACAUAUUUAUUGAGCUUGGCUUUCGCUUGAGGACAAGGGAGGUCUAAGCUUGGGGAAGUUGAUACGUCCAUUUUGCAUCAUGUUUUCAUGUUGAUAUUUAUCGCUUCUUUGGCUGUUAUUUCACUUCACGGUACAAUUCUUAUGCCUUUUCUCUCUUAUUUUGCAAGGUUUACAUGAAGAGUGAUAAUACCGGCAACUGGAAUUCUGGCCUGAAAGUGGAGCAAAGUUGAGAUACCUAUUCUUCGCAACUCCAAAUGUCGUGAAAAUCAACGGGGAUUUUUACCCAAUUUAUCAAAAAUAUUGGGCCGAAGAAGUGCCAGAGGGGCACCAGGGGGUGCCCACAAGCCUGCACGGCGCGGCCACCCCCAGGCCGCGCCAUGGGGCUUGUGGGCAGCCCACUAGCAUGCACGGCGCUGCCACCCCCCAGGCCGCGCCAUGGGGGCUUGUGGGCAGCCCACUAGCCCACUGGCCCCCCUCUUUUGAUAUAUGGAGGGUUUCGUCGAGGAAAAAAAAAUCAAGGAGGAGCUUUUUCGUGGUUUCGCCGCCGCCACGAGGCGGAACUUGAGCAGAACCAAUCUAGAGCUCCGGCAGGACGAUCCUGCCGGGGAAACUUCCCUCCCAAAGGGGAAAUCAUCGCCAUCGUCAUCACCAACACUCCUCUCAUUGGAGGGGACUUGUCACCAUCAACAUCUUCAUCAGCACCAUCUUAUCUGCAAACCCUAGUUCAUCACUUGUAACCAAUCUCCAUCUCACGACUCCGAUUGGUACUUGUAAGGUUGCUAGUAGUGUUGAUUACUCUUUGUAGUUGAUGCUAGUUGGAUUAUUUGGUGGAAGAGUUUAUGUUCAGAUCCUUGAUACUACUCAUUACCUCUCUGAUCAUGAAUAUGAUUAUGCUUUGUGAGUAGUUACUUUUGUUCCUGAGGACAUGGGAUAAGUCAUGCUAAUACUAGUCAUGUGAAUUUGGUAUUCGUUCGACAUUUUGAUAUGUUGUAUGUUGUUUUUCCUCUAGUGGUGUUAUGUGAACGUCGACUACAUAACACUUCACCAUUAUUUGGGCCUAGAGGAAGGCAUUGGGAAGUAGUAAGUAGAUGAUGGGUUGCUAGAGUGACAUAAGCUUAUACCCUAGUUUAUGCGUUGCUUCGUAAGGGGCUGAUUUGGAUCCACUAGUUUAAUGCUAUGUUUAGACUUUGUCUUAAUUCUUCUUAAGUAGUUGUGGAUGCUUGCGAGAGGGGUUAAUCAUAAGUGGGAUGCUUGUCCAAGUAAGGGCAGUACCCAAGCGCCGGUCCACCCACAUAUCAAACUAUAAAAGUAACGAAUGCGAAUCUUAUGAACAUGAUGAAACUAGCAUGACAGAAAUUCCUGUGUGUCCUCGGGAGCGUUUUUCCUCCUAUAAGACUUUGUCCAGGCUUGUCCCUUGCUACAAAAGGGAUUGGGCCACUUUGCUGCAGCGUUGCUACUUUUGUUACUUGUCGCUUGCUACGAAUCACCUCACUACACAAUCACUUGUUAUCGACAAUUUGAGUGCCUGCAGAUUUUACCUUGCUGAAAACCACUUGUCAGAUCCUUCUGCUCCUCGUUGGGUUCGACACUCUUACUUAUCGAAAGGACUACGAUUGAUUCCCUAUACUUGUGGGUCAUCAGUGACGAGUCCCCUCCGAUGAGAGGAGUGUUGGUGAUGACGAUGGGGACGAUUUCCCCCUCCGGGAGGGAAGUUUCCCCGGCAGGAUCGUCCUGUCGGAGCUCUAGAUUGGUUCUGCUCAAGUUCCGCCUCGUGGCGGCGGCAAAUCCACGAAAAAGCUCCUCCCUGAUUUUUUUCAGACGAAACCCUUCAUAUAGCAGAAGAGGGGGGGGGGCAGUGGGCCAGCAAGCUUCCCACAAGCCCUCAUGGUGCGGCCUCGGGGGUGGUGGCCGCGCCGUGCAGGCUUGUGGCCACCUGCACACGCCCCUCUGGCACUUCUUCGGCCCAGUAUUUAUUAUAAAUCCUGAAAAAAAUCCUCACUGAUUUUUACGGCGUUUGGAGUUGCGCAUAAUAGGUAUCUCAACUUUGCUCCACUUUCAGGCCAGAAUUCCAGUUGCCGGCAUUCUCCCUCUUCAUGUAAACCUUGCAAAAUAAGAGAGAAAAGGCAUAAGUAUUGUACCGUGAAGUAAAUAACAGCCCAAGAAGCGAUAAAUAUCAACAUGAAAACAUGAUGUAAAAUGGACGUAUCAGUGAGCGGCGCCUCUGACUCGGGCUAUACCGUGUCGGAGAUCGGCUAUUGGUUGUGCCCGGUACGAUUCCUGAUCUUUGUUGCUGUGGGUAUGCCGAGGUUGGUCUCCAUCCCAUCGGGUGGGAGACUUCCUUCUGGAUCCAUAGAUAGAUCUGUUGUGACCUGUUAUGUUGUCUAAGUCAUGACGUAGGUCGUGUUUGCCCCUAGGCUGCACGUGUUCCUUUCCUUCACCGUAGGGAGGCUCGGGUCUAUACUCGGCUUCUCCGACCGCUCUGUCGCGCCCUCGAGGUGGUCGAUCGGGUUCUUCAUACUGUGUGCGCCUGGGGGACACGGGUUCUGGGACCUCGUCAUCAAACUGAGGUAGCAGCGCCAUCGUGGGUAGCUUUUGUUUUGACUCGGCCACCCGGUGCCAUAUCCUUCUUCGGCUGCCAAUAGUUUUGUCCAUCUAUUUUUGAUGGUUUCUUCUUUGCCUUGAAGACGUUGUUGCUUCCCUUGGAGGCUUUGGGCGGUAGCUAUGAGCUGCUACCUAAAUCGUGCCUGACCUUCAGGGUCCUUAGUAAUUGAGAAGUCUUCGGCCUCCAAGAUGAACUCCAGGUCGUCAGGAGGGAGGUAGUUGUCAUCGUUUGAAUCGUCAGGGUCGUCGGGAUCAGACUGGCCAUCGGGCUUGUUCGGAUCCUCCGGUGGUUGCUCGGGAGCUCCAAGGUUACCGUUGUCUUGUUGGGUUGUGUUCUCUCCGGUGCCCUGUAUGGCCCCCCUUCCCUUGUUCGCAUUGGAAUGUUUGCGUUUCUUUCGACCCUUUGAUGGCUUGUCCCAGGACUUAUCGUUGUUUUGUGGUACAGGGCAUGAUUGUCAUUGCCAUUAGGUGUGUCCACCAUGUAGACGUCGUAGGUGGAGGUGGUAGUCCAUCGCCCGGUGUUUACAGGAGCUGGGUCAUCAGCCGCAUAAUCCAUGUCUUCGACCUCCUCGGAGGCGUAAUCCAAUACGUUGGUUAAGUCUUCGACAGUGACUACCAAGUGGGUGGUGGGUGGGCUGUAAAGUACUCGUAAUCUGCUUCUCGACCGGUCCGAAUAUAGCUCCGGUACGGUCCAUCCGCGAUUUUCAACGAUCGGAUCUGGUCGAGCGCCUUGUUUAACAUCGACAGGUUGUCCAAAUCAGUCUCUUGAUGGUUUUAAAGAGCUGACUUCCGUAGCUUCGACGAGGGAUGUGAGUUCAGCAAUGGUCGUCUGCGGUUGUCUGGGCAUAGAGAUCGGACCCGGGCUCGAAGCCAACUCUCUGAAGAGGGAACCGAGGUCAUGGCCGGAUAAGAGACCCGAAGUCAAGGCUUCAGAUUUUUGGAGAUCAUGAGGUGAAACCGUGAUCUUAGCAGGGAGAAGAUUGCUCCGGGAGUCGAUGGAGAACUUGAGGUUCCCAAACUUUAUCUCAUGGUCGAGAACGAGACAUACAAUCUGGCCAAGGCGGCCGGUCGGGUCGGCAUGCAGCGUGAAGCUGCCGAACUAGAGAACCUGCCCGGGGACGAAGAUGUCCUAGUUGUUGAUUUGGUCGCUUACGAUUAAGAGGGCCAUCAAUCCUUCUGACGAUCCCACAAUGGAACUCUCAAUGAAAGCACCAAUGUCAGUGUCAAAACUGGCGGAUCUCGGGUAGGGGGUCCCAAACUGUGGACCUUGGAUCGAUGGGUUGCAGGACACGAAGGAGAUAGUAUUUACCCAGGUUCGGGCCCUCUUGAGGAGAUAAAACGCUACAUCUGUUUGAUUAUAUUGAUCGUGUAUGAGGAUUACAGAGUUGAUCUACCUCGAGAUCGUAUGAGCUAAACCCUAUAUGAAUCAACUUGGCUAUGUGGACGAAGCCCUCUGGUUUAUAUAGACACUAAAGGUCCCUAGGGUUACAUAUAACUGACCUUCGGUCGGGGAUAGAUGCGCCGAUCUAGCCUACCAAACUUGGACGAUACGCUAGUCUUUGAAACUUUCCUUCCUGAAUACGAAGUCGUUUAUGUAGUCCAGUGUUCAAUAAUACAACUCAUAUGGUCGACCUCUAAGAGAUGGGUCGGCCAUCCGAGGACCCCUUAAUCCAGGACUCCCUCAGUAACAAAGCACAAACCGCAUUCGACCAACUCAAGGUUUUGCUUUCUACCCAGUUGGUGUUAGCUGCUCCGGGCAGCCAGGAGCCCUUGCUCCUGUACGUCACCGCCACUAGCCAAGUGGUUAGCACCGUUCUCACCAUGGAGCGUGAUGAAGCAGGCAGAGCGUACAAGGUACAAUGGCCCAUCUAUUACUUCUCAGAAGUAUUGAUUCCCUCCAAGCAAAGGUACCCACAUUACCAAGAGCUGGUUUACGGUAUCUAUGUGACCUUAAAUAAGGUGUUCCAUUACUUCCAAGAUCACCCGGUCACAGUUAUCAGUGAUGCCCCCUUAUCAGAAAUCCUGCACAACAGAGACGCCACUUGCCAAGUGGCUAAAUGGGCGAUUGAACUCCUCCCGCUGGAGAUCAAGUUUGAAGCUAAAAAAGCGAUCAAAUCUCACGCCCUGACGGACUUCCUGGUCGAAUGGAUAGAACAAGAGGAUCUGGCUCCUAGUGUCCCCGGGCAUUGUACUAUGUUCUUUGAUGGAUCCAAAAUGAUCCAUGACUCGGGGGCUGGAGUAGUUCUCGUCUCCCUAGGGGAGACCGACAGAACUAUGUGCUCCAAAUCUACUUCGACUCAUCUAGCAAUGAGGCCAAGUACGAGGUCCUCUUGUACGGGCUCCGUAUAGCCAUCUCACUCGGUAUUCGACGUUCGAUGGUCUAUGGUGACUCGGAUCUCGUUGUCAAUCAGGUAAUGAAGGAAUGGGACAUUCGGAGCCUGGCCAUGACAGUUUGCUGUAACAGAGUCAGGAAAGUAGAGAAGAAUUUUUCAGUGUUAGAAUUUCACCAUGUGCCCCAAGCCAAGAAUCAGGCGGCUGAUAACUUGGCUAAGAUCGGUUGUACUCGGAGAGUCAUUCCAAAAGGCGUGUUCCUCAAACAUUUAUGCGCCCCUCGAUUAAAGAAGAUCAUUUUACGAAGCAGCCCCCACGGGUAGUCGGUCCUUCAAAUCCGAAUGAAAUAGAUGUCCCGAUAGUGGUCGACCUCGUCCAUGAGAUGCGGGUCAUCAUGCCCGAAUGGAGUCAGCCUUAUAUCUCUUACUUGAUCCGGCAAGAACUCCUGAAGAUAAAGAGGAAGCCCGCCAAAUCGUUCGGCAGUCUAAAGCUUUCAAAGUUUUAGGAGACACAUUAUACAAGAAAAGUGUUACAAGAGUCAGUCAGAAGUGCAUUUCCUGAGAGGAAGGAUUGCAAAUCUUGCACGAAAUUCACUCGGGAACCCGUGGUCAUCACGCGUCAUCUCACACACUGGUGGCCACGGCUUUCUGAGCGGGUUUUUAUUGGCGCCGAGCCAAUAAAGGAGCAAGAUACCUGGUCGAGCUCUGCGUCGGAUGCCAAUUCUACAAAAAUCAGUCACACAAGCCCGCAUUCGCGUUAAGGACGAUUCCGCUCACCUGGCCGUUCACCGUGUGGCAUCUCAACAUGGUCAACCCAUUACGGACUGGGUCGAGUGGAUUCAGCCACCUGCUAGUAGCGGUCGAUAAGUUCACCAAGUGGGUCGAGGUGAAGCCCUUCAAAAUCCUGGAUUUAGCGANNNNNNNNNNNNNNNNNNNNNNNNNNNNNNNNNNNNNNNNNNNNNNNNNNNNNNNNNNNNNNNNNNNNNNNNNNNNNNNNNNNNNNNNNNNNNNNNNNNNAGCAGACGGCCAGUUCCCGUCGUCGCCGGGUGAGCAACCACAUCCUUUGUUUUAUUCUUGUGUCUUUGGUGGUAGACCCUCAGUCAUCAAGUUACGGCAAGCAGGGCCGACUAGACGGGGACGAUGGAUGAUGCCUCCUCCAAGGAGCAGCCACCUAGGCCGAGGCAGACACAGCGAGGAAGGUGCUGCUCGAGGAAGAGCAUCGGUUGUGGGAGGAGGCGGCCCGAAAGGCAGCUGCAGGCCGGGACCAGCCCAGGAAGCUAGCGGUCGACCUUGCUCAAAAGUCACCGACGUAGGAGAGGCGGUCCAAGACGAAGAACGACCCCGCCUCACGAAAGGACGUGGGCACGCGGACCGGCGAGCAGACGCGCACCAGCCCGAGUGCAGCUGGAGCCGCCAAGGACGCCGAGCCGGAGCCUGCUGUCGCGCCGGAGACACCUGACGUGGCUCCCCAUGCACCCAGCUUCAGGCCGAACGCUGCGCCAGAAGCGCCAAUGGAUGCGCCGGGGGCCGAGAGCCCGCCUCCAUGGAUGGAAACCCCUGGUGGUGAAGCCAAAGGCUCGGGAGAGAUGGCCCUUAUAGCGAAGGACAGGGCCCGAGGGACUGAAGUUCCCACUGCGCCGGUGCCCCGCCAGGCCGACGCGUUGAAGGAGCUGACCAAGAGCGCACCGCCACGAGACGGCGCCAUGGUUGUGACCGGCCGCGCCCCGUCCGCCUCCGAAGCCAACCCCAUCUCCGGAAGACGGCCCCUGUAAUCUUGGGGCGCGGCCACAUCGAGCCGUGCGAGCCUACCGCCCGGCACCACGCUGAGUGGGGUUCUCGCACUUGUUNNNNNNNNNNNNNNNNNNNNNNNNNNNNNNNNNNNNNNNNNNNNNNNNNNNNNNNNNNNNNNNNNNNNNNNNNNNNNNNNNNNNNNNNNNNNNNNNNNNNACUGCGACCUGGGAGUUGGCACGGCUGGCUGCUCGGUAGCCCGAGCCACGAGCCCGUCGAGCUGCCUCUUCUUUUCCGCAACCACCACCGCCUCAGCCAGCCGGCUGCUGUCGCGCACGCACUCAACCGAUUUCUUGUAGUCACCAGCAAUAAUGAUAAUGCCCUUGGGCCUCAACAUCUUAAUCUUUAGGUAAGCAUAAUGGGGGAUCGCCAUGAACUUGGCGAGCGCCGGCCUGCCCAACAAUGCAUGGUAAGGGCUAUUGAGGUUCACCACUUCGAACCAGAUCGGCUCGCGACGGAAGUGCGCCUUGUCGCCGAAAAGGACGUCCAGCUGGAUUUUGCCGAUGGGCGAGCAGGACUGUCUCGGCACGAUGCCAUGAAAGACAGUCAUGGUCGACUGCAGGUCCUUCCCCUUGAGCCUGAACUUGAGCAGGGUGUCAAGGUAGAGGAUGUCGAGGCUGCUACCGCCAUCGACCAGCACCCGUGAGAACCGGCAGGUGAGUCUCUUGGAAGCGAUGGUGGGGUCGAGGACGAGCGCGUACGUGCCGGGGUUCGGCAUCACCCCGGGAUGAUCCUCCCAGCUCCAUGUAAUUGGAUUUUCAGACCAAUGCAUGUCUUGAGGAACCGAGGGGACUGUGGCGUUCACCUUAUGCCGGCGCUGACAGUGGUNNNNNNNNNNNNNNNNNNNNNNNNNNNNNNNNNNNNNNNNNNNNNNNNNNNNNNNNNNNNNNNNNNNNNNNNNNNNNNNNNNNNNNNNNNNNNNNNNNNNGUCACAGAACAAGGUUAUUGGAUCCAGUGCACUUGGCACCACUCCAAGAUCCGUCAUGAACUGCUUCAUCUAGACACCCUCCUUAGCCGCCUCCGAGGCAGCCAUGUACUCUGCUUCACAUGUAGAAUCUGCUACGACGCUUUGCUUGGAACUGCACCAGCUUACUGCACCCCCAUUAAGAAUAAAUACGUAUCCGGUUUGUGACUUAGAGUCGUCCGGAUCUGUGNUCAAAGCUUGCAUCGACGUAACCUUUUACGGCGAGCUCUUCGUCACCUCCAUACACGAGAAACAUCUCCUUAGUCCUUUUCAGGUACUUCAGGAUAUUCUUGACCGCUGUCCAGUGAUCCACUCCUGGAUUACUCUGGAACCCACCUGCCAUACUUAUGGCCAGGCUAACAUCCGGUCUAGUGCACAUCAUCGCAUACAUGAUAGAACCUAUGGCUGAAGCAUAGGGGACGGAGCACAUAUGCUCUCUAUCUUCAUCAGUUGCUGGGCACUGAGUCUUACUCAAUCUCGUACCUUGUAAAACUGGCNNNNNNNNNNNNNNNNNNNNNNNNNNNNNNNNNNNNNNNNNNNNNNNNNNNNNNNNNNNNNNNNNNNNNNNNNNNNNNNNNNNNNNNNNNNNNNNNNNNNGUGGUGACCAAGGGUAUCUAGUAGGAUCGCAUCUUACUUACGCAAACACCACAACGGAGAUAUAUGAGUUUCUAUUUAACCUCAUCCAAGGACCUCCUCGGUCAAAUCCGAUUCAACUAAAGUUGGAGAAACCGUCACUUGCCAGUCAUCUUUGAGCAAAGGGGGUUACUCGUAACGAUGAAACCAGUCUCUCGUAAGCGUACGAGUAAUGUCGGUCCAAGCCGCUUCAAUCCAACAAUACCCCGGAAUCAAGAAAAGACUAAGGAGGGUAGCAAACCGCACAUCACCGCCCACAAAAUUUUUUGUGUUCUACUCGAGAAGACAUCUACGCAUGAACCUAGCUCAUGAUCCCACUGGUGGCGAACGUCGCAUGGGAAACAAAAAGUUUCCUACGCGCACCAAGACCUAUCAUGGUGAUGUCCAUCUACGAGAGGGGAUGAGUGAUCUACGUACCCUUGUAGAUCGUACAGAAGAAGCGUUAGAGAACGCGGUUGAUGUAGUGGAACGUCCUCACGUCCCUCGAUCCGCCCCGCGAACAAUCNNNNNNNNNNNNNNNNNNNNNNNNNNNNNNNNNNNNNNNNNNNNNNNNNNNNNNNNNNNNNNNNNNNNNNNNNNNNNNNNNNNNNNNNNNNNNNNNNNNNAUUCGAUCGUCAGUAUCCGCAUACCUAUUUCAAUCUCGUUUACCGGCAAGUCUCUUUACUCGUUCCGUAACACAAGAUCCCGCAACUUACACUAAUUUACAUUGCUUGCAAGGCUUGUGUGUGAUGUUGUAUUACCGAGUGGGCCCCGAGAUACCUCUCCGUCACACGGAGUGACAAAUCCCAGUCUUGAUCCAUACUAACUCAACUAACACCUUCGGAGAUACCUGUAGAGCAUCUUUAUAGUCACCCAGUUACGUUGCGACGUUUGAUACACACAAAGCAUUCCUCCGGUGUCAGUGAGUUAUAUGAUCUCAUGGUCAUAGGAAUAAAUACUUGNACACGCAGAAAACAGUAGCAACAAAAUGACACGAUCAACAUGCUACGUCUAUUAGUUUGGGUCUAGUCCAUCACGUGAUUCUCUCAAUGACGUGAUCCAGUUAUCAAGCAACAACAACUUGUUCAUAAUCAGAAGACACUGACUAUCAUCGAUCAGCUGGCUAGCCAACUAGAGGCAUGCUAGGGACGGUGUUUCGUCUAUGUAUCCACACAUGUAAAUGAGUCUUCAUUCAAUACAAUUAUAGCAUGGAUAAUAAACUAUUAUCNNNNNNNNNNNNNNNNNNNNNNNNNNNNNNNNNNNNNNNNNNNNNNNNNNNNNNNNNNNNNNNNNNNNNNNNNNNNNNNNNNNNNNNNNNNNNNNNNNNNCCACAAAAACUUUUGUGUUCUACUCGAGAAGACAUCUACGCAUGAACCUAGCUCAUGAUGCCACUGUUGGUGAACGUCGCAUGGGAAACAAAAAAUUUCCUACGCGCACAAAGACCUAUCAUGGUGAUGUCCAUCUACGAGAGGGGAUGAGUGAUCUACGUACCCUUGUAGAUCGUACAGCAGAAGCGUUAGAGAACGCGGUUGAUGUAGUGGAACGUCCUCACGUCCCUCGAUCCGCCCCGCGAACAAUCCCGCGAUCAGUCCCACGAUCUNAGUACCGAACGGACGGCACCUCCGCGUUCAGCACACGUACAGCUCGACGAUGAUCUCGGCCUUCUUGAUCCAGCAAGAGAGACGGAGAGGUAGAAGAGUUCUCAGGCAGCGUGACGGCGCUCCGGAGGUUGGUGAUAAUCUUGUCUCAGCAGGGCUCCGCCCGAGCUCCGCAGAAACGCGAUCUAGAGGGAAAAACUAUGGAGGUAUGUGGUCGGGCCGCCGUGAGAAAGUCGUCUCAAAUCAGCCCUAAUUGCUCCAUAUAUAUAGGAGGAGGGAGGGGGGCCUUGCCUUGGGGUCCAAGGGACCAUCAAGGGGUCGGCCGAGCCAAGGGGGGGGAGGACUCCCCCCCCAAACCGAGUUGGACUUGGUUUGGUGGGAGGAGUCCCCCUCCCUUCCCACUUCCUCCCUCUUUUUUCUUUUCCUUUGAUUUCUUAUUCUUGGCGCAUAGGCCCCCUUGGGGCUGUCCCACCAGCCCACUAAGGGCUGGUGUGUCUCCCCAAAGCCUNNNNNNNNNNNNNNNNNNNNNNNNNNNNNNNNNNNNNNNNNNNNNNNNNNNNNNNNNNNNNNNNNNNNNNNNNNNNNNNNNNNNNNNNNNNNNNNNNNNNGGCCAUAUCAUGUCACUUAUGAAUUGCAUGUGAUGUUAAUCCUUUUAUGCACCUUAUUUUGCUUAGAACGACGGUAGCAUUAUGAGGUGAUCUCUCACUAAAAUUUCAAGACAAAAUUGUGUUCUCCCCGACUGUGCACCGUUGCUACAGUUCGUCGUUUCGAGACACCACGUGAUGAUCGGGUGUGAUAGACUCAACGUUCACAUACAACGGGUGCAAAACGGUUGCGCACGCGGAACACUCGGGUUAAGCUUGACGAGCCUAGCAUGUGCAGACAUGGCCUCGGAACACAUGAGACCGAAAGGUCGAUCAUGAAUCAUAUAGUUGAUAUGAUUAGCAUAGGGAUGCUUACCACUGAAACUAUACUCAACUCACGUGAUGAUCGGACUUGGGAUAGUGUAAGUGGAUCAUGAACCACUCAAAUGACUAGAGAGAUGUACUUUUUGAGUGGGAGUUUAGCAUAUAAUUUGAUUAAGUUGAACUCUAAUUAUCUUGAACAUAGUCUAAGUCCACUUUGAAUAUAUUUGUGUUGUAGAUCAUGGCUCACGCAAGUGUCAUCCUGANNNNNNNNNNNNNNNNNNNNNNNNNNNNNNNNNNNNNNNNNNNNNNNNNNUUUGUAGACUGGGCUCGUAAUCUUAAGCUAAUCUUACAAGCUGGGAAGAAGGAUUAUGUCCUUAAUGCUGCGCUAGGAGAUGAACCACCCGCUACGGCUGAUCAGGAUGUUAAGAACGCUUGGUUAGCGCGUAAGGAGGACUACUCAAUAGUUCAAUGUGCAGUCUUGUAUGGCUUAGAACCGGGACUUCAACGUCGCUUUGAGCGUCAUGGAGCAUUNNNNNNNNNNNNNNNNNNNNNNNNNNNNNNNNNNNNNNNNNNNNNNNNNNNNNNNNNNNNNNNNNNNNNNNNNNNNNNNNNNNNNNNNNNNNNNNNNNNNUUUGGUGGCUAAACUUACGAGUACAAGAAAUAAGAGGGGGAUGAUCUACGCAUAGCGGACGUGACUACUGCUGAUCAAAUGAAUGAUCCUGAACACACCUACCUACGUCAGACAUAACCCCGUCGUGUCCUCGAUCGGAGAAGGAACUCACGAAAGAGACAGUCACGGUUACGCACACAGUUGGCAUAUUUUAAUUAAGUUAACUUCAAGUUAUCUAGAACCAGUGUUAAACAAAGCUUCCACGUUGCCACAUAACCGCGGGCACGGCUUUCCGAAAGAUUUAACCCUGCAGGGGUGCUCCAACUAGUCCAUCACAAAUUACCACAAGCCGCAUAGAAAUCCUCAAUCACGAAGCUCGCGAUCUCGUCGGAUUCCCUAGUGGAAAACCUCAACUCUGAGAUUACCCAAAGCAUCACCGGAAUCCCGAUGCACAAGAUAUCUCGUCAAAGGUAAAACUAGUCCAGCAAGGCCGCCCGGCGUGUCGACGAUCCCGAUAGGAGCCGCUUAUCUCGUUCUCAGGACACGACGGAUAAGCACAGCGUACGGUGGCCUGAUAGAAAUAUCCCGAGUUGCCCCGGGUUGGCCCCGCAAACGGCUCUAGAUUUGGACCAGCACCAACAACACUGGCUCCCCAGUAUUAUGUAGAAUUACUCCUCGGGUAGCGCUAACUCCCUAUGCAUUUCAAUAUUAUCAAGAUAUUAUGUUGGGAAAAUAGUACCAAUGUUGGGCCUUGCCAGACCAGCCUUAAUCUAAAACGAAUUAUCAAGGGGGUCCCCAUAACAACCCCGAUCGUGUUAGCAGCGCUCAGUUAUGGAACAUAGCACCGGUAGCCGGAAAUUAAGAGGGCAAAGGUGGAACAAAACACCAGGCUAGAAAGGCCGAGCCUUCCACCUUUUACCAAGUAUAUANNNNNNNNNNNNNNNNNNNNNNNNNNNNNNNNNNNNNNNNNNNNNNNNNNNNNNNNNNNNNNNNNNNNNNNNNNNNNNNNNNNNNNNNNNNNNNNNNNNNAGAUUCGAUCGUCAGUAUCCGCAUACCUAUUUCAAUCUCGUUUACCGGCAAGUCUCUUUACUCGUUUCGUAACACAAGAUCCCGCAACUUACACUAAGUUACAUUGCUUGCAAGGCUUGUGUGUGAUGUUGUAUUACCGAGUGGGCCCCGAGAUACCUCUCCGUCACACGGAGUGACAAAUCCCAGUCUUGAUCCAUACUAACUCAACUAACACCUUCGGAGAUACCUGUAGAGCAUCUUUAUAGUCACCCAGUUACGUUGCGNACGUUUGAUACACACAAAGCAUUCCUCCGGUGUCAGUGAGUUAUAUGAUCUCAUGGUCAUAGGAAUAAAUACUUGACACGCAGAAAACAGUAGCAACAAAAUGACACGACCAACAUGCUACGUCUAUUAAUUUGGGUCUAGUCCAUCACAUGAUUCUCCUAAUGAUGUGAUGCCGUUAUCAAGUGACAACACUUGCCUAUGGUCAGGAAACCUUGACCAUCUUUGAUCAACGAGCUAGUCAACUAGAGGCUUACUAGGGACAGUGUUUUGUCUAUGUAUCCACACAUGCACUGUGUUUCCAAUCAAUACAAUUAUAGCAUGGAUAAUAAACGAUUAUGAUGAACAAAUAAAUAUAAUAAUAACUAAUUUAUUAUUGCNNNNNNNNNNNNNNNNNNNNNNNNNNNNNNNNNNNNNNNNNNNNNNNNNNNNNNNNNNNNNNNNNNNNNNNNNNNNNNNNNNNNNNNNNNNNNNNNNNNNCCAGCUUUUCAGGCUGAAGCUUUUUGACAUAAGCAUCACAUCCCCAAACUUUAAGAAACGACAACUUUGGUCUUUUGCCAUACCACAGUUCGUAUGGUGUCGUCUCAACGGAUUUUGAUGGUGCCCUAUUUAAAGUGAAUGCAGCUGUUUCUAAUGCAUAACCCCAAAAUGAUAACGGCAAAUCAGUAAGAGACAUCAUAGAUCGCACCAUCUCUAACAAAGUUCGAUUACGACGUUCGGACACACCAUUACGCUGUGGUGUUCCAGGCGGUGUUAACUGCGAAACAAUUCCACAUUGUCUUAAGUGAGCACCAAACUCGAAACUCAGAUAUUCACCCCCACGAUCAGACCGUACGAACUUGAUCUUCUUGUUACGAUGAUUUUCCACUUCACUCUAAAAUUGCUUGAACUUUUCAAAUGUUUCAGACUUGUGCUUCAUCAAGUAGACAUAACCAUAUCUACUUAAAUCGUUAGUGGAGGUGAGAAAAUAACGAUAUCCGUCGCGUGCCUCCACGCUCAUUGGACCACACACAUCGGUAUGUAUGAUUUCCAACAAGUCACUUGCACGCUCCAUUGUUCCAGAGAACGGAGUCUUAGUCAUCUUGCCCAUGAGGCAUGGUUCGCACGUGUCAAGUGAAUCAAAGUCAAGUGACUCCAAAAGUCCAUCAGCAUGGAGUUUCUUCAUGCGCUUUACACCAAUAUGACCCAAGCGGCAGUGCCACAAAAAUAUGGCGCUAUCAUUGUUUACUCUAACUCUUUUGGUCUCAAUGUUAUGUAUAUGUGUAUCGCUAUCAAGAUUCAAUAUGAACAAUCCUCUCACAUUCGGUGCAUGACCAUAAAAGAUGUUACUCAUAGAAAUAGAACAACCAUUAUUCUCAGACUUAAAAGAGUAACCGUCUCGCAAUAAACAAGAUCCAGAUAUAAUGUUCAUGCUCAACGCAGGCACUAAAUAACAAUGAUUUAAGUUCAUCACUAAUCCCGAUGGUAGCUGAAGUGACACUGUGCCGACGGCGAUUGCAUCAACCUUGGAACCGUUUCCUACGCGCAUCGUCAGUUCGUCUUUCGCCAGCCUUCGUCUAUUCCGCAGUUCCUGCUUCGAGUUGCAAAUGUGAGCAACAGAACCGGUAUCAAAUACCCAGGCACUACUACGAGAGACGGUUAAGUACACAUCAAUAACAUGUAUAUCAAAUAUACCUGAUUUUUCUUUGCUCGCCUUCUUAUCUGCCACAUACUUGGGGCAAUUGCGCUUCCAGUGACCCAUACCCUUGCAAUAGAAGCACUCUGUUUCAGGCUUAGGUCCAGCUUUGGGCUUCUUCGGCGGAUUGGCAAUAGACUUGCCGCUCUUCUUCGAAUUGCCCUUCUUUCCUUUGCCGUUUCUCUUGAAACUAAUGGUCUUGCUCACCAUCAACACUUGAUGCUCUUUACGGAGUUCAGACUCUGCGACUUUCAGCAUCGCAAANNNNNNNNNNNNNNNNNNNNNNNNNNNNNNNNNNNNNNNNNNNNNNNNNNNNNNNNNNNNNNNNNNNNNNNNNNNNNNNNNNNNNNNNNNNNNNNNNNNNCUUGCAAGCAUAGAAUUUAUCGGAGGUCUCAUACCUCUCGAUCCGGGCGUUCUUCUGAAAGAUAAACUUCAACUCCUGGAACAUCUCAAAUGCUCCAUGACGCUCAAAGCGACGUCGAAGUCCCGGUUCUAAGCCAUACAAGACUGCACAUUAAACUAUUGAGUAGUCCUCCUUACGCGCUAACCAAGCAUUCUUAACAUCCUGAUCAGCCGUAGCGGGUGGUUCAUCUCCUAGCGCAGCAUUAAGGACAUAAUCCUUCUUGCCAGCUUGUAAGAUUAGCUUAAGAUUACGAGCCCAGUCUACAAAGUUGCUUCCAUCAUCUUUCAACUUAGCUUUCUCUAGGAACGUAUUCAAAUUCAGGAUGACACUAGCGUGAGCCAUGAUCUACAACACAAAUAUAUUCAAAGUGGACUUAGACUAUGUUCAAGAUAAUUUAGAGUUCAACUUAAUCAAAUUAUAUGCUAAACUCCCACUCAAAAAUUACAUCUCUCUAGUCAUUUGAGUGGCUCAUGAUCCACUUACACUAUCCCAAGUCCGAUCAUCACGUGAGUUGAGUAUAGUUUCAGUGGUAAGCAUCCCUAUGCUAAUCAUAUCAACUAUAUGAUUCAUGAUCGACCUUUCGGUCUCAUGUGUUCCGAGGCCAUGUCUGCACAUGCUAGGCUCGUCAAGCUUAACCCGAGUGUUCCGCGUGCGCAACGGUUUUGCACCCGUUGUAUGUGAACGUUGAGUCUAUCACACCCGAUCAUCACGUGGUGUCUCGAAACGACGAACUGUAGCAACGGUGCACAGUCGGGGAGAACACAAUUUCGUCUUGAAAUUUUAGUGAGAGAUCACCUCAUAAUGCUACCGUUGUUCUAAGCAAAAUAAGGUGCAUAAAAGGAUUAACAUCACAAGCAAUUCAUAAGUGACAUGAUAUGGCCAUCAUCACGUGCUUCUUGAUCUCCAUCACCAAAGCACCGUCACGAUCUUCUUGUCACCGGCGCCACACCAUGAUCAUCCAUCAACGUGUUGCCAUCGGGGUUGUCGUGCUACUUAUGCUAUUACUACUAAAGCUACAUCCUAGCAAAAUAGUAAACGCAUCACCAAGCACAGAAGUUAGUAUAAAGACAACCCUAUGGCUCCUGCCGGUUGCCGUACCAUCGACGUGCAAGUCGAUAUUUCUAUUACAACAUGAUCAUCUCAUACAUCCAAUAUAUCACAUCACAUCGUUGGCCAUAUCACAUCACAAUCAUACCCUGCAAAAACAAGUUAGACGUCCUCUAAUUUUGUUGUUGCAUGUUUUACGUGGUGACCAAGGGUAUCUAGUAGGAUCGCAUCUUACUUACGCAAACACCACAACGGAGAUAUAUGAGUUCCUAUUUAACCUCAUCCAAGGACCUCCUAGGUCAAAUCCGAUUCAACUAAAGUUGGAGAAACCGUCACUUGCCACUCAUCUUUGAGCAAAGGGGGUUACUCGUAACGAUGAAACCAGUCUCUCGUAAGCGUACGAGUAAUGUCGGUCCAAGCCGCUUCAAUCCAACAAUACCAGGGAAUCAAGAAAAGACUAAGGAGGGCAGCAAAGCGCACAUCACCGCCCACAAAACAUUUUGUGUUCUACUCGAGAAGACAUCUACGCAUGAACCUAGCUCUGAUACCACUGAUGGGGAACGUCGCAUGGGAAACAAAAAUUUUCCUACGCGCACGAAGACCUAUCAUGGUGAUGUCCAUCUACGAGAGGGGAUGAGUGAUCUACGUACCCUUGUAGAUCGUACAGCAGAAGCGUUAGAGAACGCGGUUGAUGUAGUGGAACGUCCUCACGUCCCUCGAUCCGCCCCGCGAACAAUCCCGCGAUCAGUCCCACGAUCUNAGUACCGAACGGACGGCACCUCCGCGUUCAGCACACGUACAGCUCGACGAUGAUCUCGGCCUUCUUGAUCCAGCUAGAGAGACGGAGAGGCAGAAGAGUUCUCCGGCAGCGUGACGGCGCUCCGGAGGUUGGUGAUGAUCUCGUCUGAGCAGGGCUCCGCCCGAGCUCCGCAGAAACGCGAUCUAGAGGAAAAACUAUGGAGGUAUGUGGUCGGGCANNNNNNNNNNNNNNNNNNNNNNNNNNNNNNNNNNNNNNNNNNNNNNNNNNNNNNNNNNNNNNNNNNNNNNNNNNNNNNNNNNNNNNNNNNNNNNNNNNNNAGCCGGCCUCGCCCCGGCCCGUCUCUAGCGCCAGGAGGCCUCGACCCACUCCGCCUUGCCUCUCCUAGGCCCAAGGUGAGCCUGCCUCUAUCCAGCGCCCGUGGCGCCUUACAGCUGUGUUGCUCGCUGUGGAUUUGGCCCAGAUUAGGAAUUCGGCCCGAUAGUAUUUUUUUAGGGUUUUCGAAUUAGCUAAAUUUCAGGAUAUAUAGACAUAUUAAAACGCCGUAACUUAUAUUCGGUAAGUCGGUUAAUAUGGAUUUUGGGUAGCUUUGCGCGUAGAAUCCGUUUUCGCAACAUGCAUAAUUAUUUGACGUUGUUUUACGUGUCAAACGCCUAGUUUAACGUGCUGUCCUAUAAUGUUUGCGUCCCGUAUUAUUUUUCGCGAGUGCCCGGAUAGCCCGUAUGCCUUAGAUUAAAUGCCCAUGUUUUAGGAACCUUUUUCCCAUGUAUUUUAGAGCAGUCAUUUGUAUUCUUGCGUGUAGGGAAUUGCCGGUAGUUUAUUUUCCCGUGUAUAGGUUAUUUUCUCGCAUUUUCGUGUGGCAUUAUUUUUGUGUUGCAACCCCACAUAUUUUAUAUGUUUCCGGGGUAAAAAAAUCCAUGUGAUUUUUCUGUGCAAUUAGUUUUAGCUUUUGAGGAAGUUAGUUCGCGCGAUAUUUUGCUAUGUUGCCCUCUUGUCUUUUUCGUAGGAUUUAUUUCGUGCUUCGUUUGACGGAGUUGUCAACUAGAGAGUUGUUUUUGGGUGUUUAGACUAGCCCCUGGUAUUUUUGGUUGCAAUAGAAAUGCAUGUUUAGGUUUGUUUUGAUUGCCCUCAAGUUGCUAGAAAUAGUGCUGUUUUGGACAUGCUGAAAUAUUUCUAAGUCUGGGAUCUGUUAUUAUUUUGUUGCUGUCUUGUCCUGCUUGGAUCUUGUGAUCUGUAGCUCUUUUGAGGUUGGUCCAAUGGAGUUAGUUGUACCCCUUGUGUUUCUCUAGCAUGCUGUGAAUUUUCCUGCCAUUUGGAGUCCUGUAGCUAUAGGUUUUGCUGCUGUCAAUAUUGCUUCAGAUCAAAAACUGCACUUUCAUGAGGUGUAGUUUUCACUAAGUGUGAAAUAAUGUGUGGGAAGCCAUUUUGUGUCUUCCUUCCCUAGUGAUCCAUGAUGCCAUGCUAGUUGUUGUUGGAUGUUUGUAGUAGUGCUUCUUGCCCUCUUUCGUGUCAUGCCUUGCUUGAGUUUAUCGGAGUUGUGUAGCCCGUAGUUGCGGGGUGUAGAAAAUGCUAUGUGGCUGAUUUUGGCAGAUUGUAGUCAUUUCUUGUUUUGCUCGUAGUGUUUGAACCGUAGCUCCGUUUUGAUCGUGUCCUACAUGAAACUUGCUUAGAAUCUCGUGUAGUUUCAUUUUCUCUUACUGGUUGUGUGUUUUGAAGUGCUCGUGACCGUCGUUGCAUACAUAUUGCAUUCAUGCCAUCAUAUCUUGCGGUGCUUGUAUCUUUUGACCCGUAGCUCCGUUGAAGAUGUUCUUUAUGUGUACAUUUCUUGAAAAUGGCGCAUAGAAUCACGUGAACCUAUUUUUAUUGCUGUUUAACAACUAGCUAAAUGCAUUAGUUCAGAUCUGGACAGAAUUGUAAAUUAACAUGUGAGGUCGUCUCGGAGGUGCUAUAUGUCAUUUUCGACCUCCCUUAAAAUGUCUAGGUAGGUAGUUUAAUUGCGCUUCACCUCUUUCCAUGUUUAACCACAUUUCAUAUGGCCGUGUACCAAAUCGGGAUAGAACUAAAUAAAUAAACAGGGAGUUUCAUCAAUAUGCAACUCGUUGCAUAUUGAACUUCACUUAAGAUGUAGUGUUUGUUUGUGUGAAUUGUCAUGCCGUGACUUGCUUGCAUUCAGCUGCUCAUGCAUCAUAUGUGUUGUGCAUCGUGUGGUGAAUUCCGUGUGUUGAUUUGUGUUUCCGGUUUGCUUCGUCUCGAUAAAGUUCCGCAACGUGCCGGAUUGUGAGGACCCGUUCGACUACGUCGGUUCGUCUGCUUCACGGAGGCAUUCUUCUUCCAAGCGGGAUCUGAGGCAAGAUGACCAUUUCCCCAGAUACCAUUACUAUCAUUGCCAUGCUAGUCUUACCGCUCCUAUCGAUUAUGUCUCGUUGCCUACCACAUGUUAAAUACCAGCCUCUCAAUAAUGCCAUGAAACCCUUCAACCUGUUCAACCUAGCAAACCACUGAUUGGCUAUGUUACUGCUUGCUUAACCCNNNNNNNNNNNNNNNNNNNNNNNNNNNNNNNNNNNNNNNNNNNNNNNNNNNNNNNNNNNNNNNNNNNNNNNNNNNNNNNNNNNNNNNNNNNNNNNNNNNNGUCGACCUGCGUGGUUCAACAGAAACUUGAACUGGAGUUUCAUGAUCAUCAUCAUUAACUUCCUCCUCAAACGGCGUCGCAACGACAGAGGUUUCCCCUUGCCCUGCGCCACCAUCCAGAGGGAUGAGAGGUUCGACAACCUCGUCAAGUUCUAUCUUCCUCCCACUCAAUUCUCUCGAGAGAAACUCCUUCUCGAGAAAAGCUCCGUUUUUAGCAACAAACACUUUGCCCUCGGAUUUGAGAUAGAAGGUGUACCCAACUGUCUCUUUUGGGUAACCUAUGAAGCCCCAAUUUUCCGCUUUGGGUUCCAGCUUUUCAGGCUGAAGCUUUUUGACAUAAGCAUCACAUCCCCAAACUUUAAGAAACGACAACUUUGGCCUUUUGCCAUACCACAGUUCGUAUGGUGUCGUCUCAACAGAUUUUGAUGGUGCCCUAUUUAAAGUGAAUGCAGCUGUUUCUUAUGCAUAACCCCAAAAUGAUAACGGCAAAUCGGUAAGAGACAUCAUAGAUCGCACCAUCUCUAAUAAAGUACGAUUACGAUGUUCGGACACACCAUUACGCUGUGGUGUUCCAGGCGGUGUCAACUGUGAAACAAUUCCACAUUGUCUUAAGUGAGCACCAAACUCGAAACUCAGAUAUUCACCCCCACGAUCAGACCGUAGGAACUUGAUCUUCCUGUUACGAUGAUUUUCAACUUCACUCUGAAAUUGCUUGAACUUUUCAAAUGUCCAUAUCUACUCAAAUCGUCAGUGAAGGUGAGAAAAUAACGAUAUCCGCCGCGUGCCUCCACGCUCAUCGGACCACACACAUCGGUAUGUAUGAUUUCCAACAAGUCACUUGCACGCUCCAUUGUUCCGGAGAACGGAGUCUUAGUCAUCUUGCUCAUGAGGCAUGGUUCGCACGUGUCAAGUGAAUCAAAGUCAAGUGACUCCAAAAGUCCAUCAACAUGGAGUUUCUUCAUGCGCUUUACACCAAUAUGACCUAAGCGGCAGUGCCACAAAAAUAUGGCGCUAUCAUUGUUAACUCUAACUCUUUUGGUCUCAAUGUUAUGUAUAUGUGUAUCGCUAUCAAGAUUCAAUAUGAACAAUCCUCUCACAUUGGGUGCAUGACCAUAAAAGAUGUUACUCAUAGAAAUAGAACAACCAUUAUUCUCUAACUUAAAAGAGUAACUGUCUCGCAAUAAACAAGAUCCAGAUAUAAUGUUCAUGCUCAACGCAGGCACUAAAUAACAAUGAUUUAAGUUCAUAACUAAUCCCGAUGGUAACUGAAGUGAAACUGUGCCGACGGCGAUUGCAUCAACCUUGGAACCAUUUCCUACGCGCAUCGUCACUUCAUCUUUCGCCAGCCUUCGUCUAUUCCGCAGUUCCUGUUUCGAGUUGCAAAUAUGAGCAACAGAACCGGUAUCGAAUACCCAGGCACUACUACGAGAGCCGGUUAAGUACACAUCAAUAACAUGUAUAUCAAAUAUACCAGAUUUUUCUUUGGCCGCCUUCUUAUCUGCCAGAUACUUGGGGCAAUUGCGCUUCCAGUGACCCAUACCCUUGCAAUAGUAACACUCUGUUUCAGGCUUAGGUCCAGCUUUGGGUUUCUUCGUCGUAUUGGCAACAGGCUUGCCGCUCUUCUUUGAAUUACCCUUCUUGCCUUUGCCGUUUCUCUUGAAACUAGUGUUCUUAUUUACCAUCAACACUUGAUGCUCUUUACGGAGUUCAGACUCUGCGACUUUCAGCAUCGCAAACAACUCGCCGGGAGACUUGUUCAUCCCUUGCAUGUUGUAGUUCAACACAAAGCCUUUAUAGCUUGGCGGCAGUGAUUGAAGGAUUCUGUUAGUGAUAGCCUCUUGCGAGAAUUCAAUCCCCAGCUCAGCUAGACGGUUUGAGUACCCAGACAUUUUGAGCACAUGUUCACUGACAGACGAGUUUUCCUCCAUCUUGCAAGCAUGGAAUUUAUCGGAGGUCCCAUACCUCUCGAUCCGGGCGUUCUUCUGAAAGAUAUACUUCAACUCCUGGAACAUUUCAAAUGCUCCAUGACGCUCAAAGCGACGUUGAAGUCCCGGUUCUAAGCCAUACAAGACUGCACAUUGAACUACUGAGUAGUCCUCCUUACGUGCUAAUCAAGCGUUCUUAACAUCUUGAUCAGCCGUAGUGGGUGGUUCAUCUCCUAGCGCAGAAUUAAGGACAUAAUCCUUCUUCNCCAGCUUGUAAGAUUAGCUUAAGAUUACGAGCCCAGUCUACAAAGUUGCUUCCAUCAUCUUUCAACUUAGCUUUCUCUAGGAACGUAUUAAAAUUCAGGGUGAUUGUCGCGUGAGCCAUGAUCUACAACACAAAUAUAUUCAAAGUGGACUUAGACUAUGUUCAAGAUAAUUAGAGUUNNNNNNNNNNNNNNNNNNNNNNNNNNNNNNNNNNNNNNNNNNNNNNNNNNNNNNNNNNNNNNNNNNNNNNNNNNNNNNNNNNNNNNNNNNNNNNNNNNNNGUAAUACAACAUCACACACAAGCCUUGCAAGCAAUGUAACUUAGUGUAAGUUGCGGGAUCUUGUAUUACGAAACGAGUAAAGAGACUUGCCGGUAAACGAGAUUGAAAUAGGUAUGCGGAUACUGAAGAUCGAAUCUCGGGCAAGUAACAUACCGAAGGACAAAGGGAAUGACAUACGGGAUUAUAUGAAUCCUUGGCACUGAGGUUCAAACGAUAAGAUCUUCGUAGAAUAUGUAGGAUCCAAUANUGGGCAUCCAGGUCCCGCUAUUGGAUAUUGACCGAGGAGUCUCUCGGGUCAUGUCUACAUAGUUCUCGAACCCGCAGGGUCUGCACACUUAAGGUUCAACGUUGUUUUAUGCGUAUUUGAGUUAUAUGGUUGGUUACCGAAUGUUUUUCGGAGUCCCGGAUCAGAUCACGGACGUCACGCGGGUUUCCGGAAUGGUCCGGAAACGAAGAUUGAUAUAUAGGAUGACCUCAUUUGAUUACCGGAAGGUUUUCAGAGUUACCGGGAAUGUACCGGGAAUGACGAAUGGGUUCCGGGAGUUCAUCGGGGGGGCAACCCACCCCGGGGAAGCCCAUAGGCCUUGAGGGUGGAGGGACAGCCCAAAAGGGCCCUAUGCGCAUUGGAAGAAAAAUCAAAGAGAAAAAAAAGAGGAGGUGGGAAGGGAAGGAAGGACUCCCACCCACCAAACCAAGUCCAACUCCGUUUGGGGGGGGAGACCUUCCCCCCUUGGCUCGGCCGACCCCUUUGUGGCUCCUUGAGCCCCAAGGCAAGGUCCCCUCUCUCCCACCUAUAUAUACGGAGGUUUUCGGGCUGAUUUGAGAUGACUUUUCCACGGCAGCCCGACCACAUACCUCCACGGUUUUUCCUCUAGAUCGCGUUUCUGCGGAGCUCGGGCGGAGCCCUGCUGAGACAAGGUCAUCACCAACCUCCGGAGUGCCGUCACGCCGCCAGAGAACUCUUCUACCUAUUUGUCUCUCUUGCUGGAUCAAGAAGGCUGAGAUCAUCAUCAAGUUGUACGUGUGCUGAACGCGGAGGUGCCGUCCGUUCGGUACUAGAUCGUGGGACUGAUCGCGGGAUUGUUCGCGGGGCGGAUCGAGGGACGUGAGGACGUUCCACUACAUCAACCACGUUCACUAACGCUUCUGCUGUACGGUCUACAAGGGUACGUAGAUCACUCAUCCCCUCUCGUAGAUGGACAUCACCAUAAUAGGUCUUCGUGCGCGUAGGGAAAAUUUUGUUUCCCAUGCGACGUUCCCCAACAGUGGCAUCAUGAGCUAGGUUCAUGCGUAGAUGUCUUCUCGAGUAGAACACAAAAGUUUUUGUGGGCGGUGAUGUGCGUUUUGCUGCCCUCCUUAGUCUCUUCUUGAUUCCGCGGUAUUGUUGGAUUGAAGCGGCUUGGACCGACAUUUCUUGUACGCUUACGAGAGACUGGUUUCAUCGCUAUGAGUAACCCCGUUGCUCAAAGAUGACUGGCAAGUGUCGGUUUCCCCAACUUUAGUUGAAUCGGAUUUGACCGAGAAGGUCCUUGGAUGAGGUUAAAUAGCAAC